rnacentral:lncRNA from 1 species
CACCUCCAUACACUUACACACCCCCUCAUUGAAUUAAAUUUUCCCUUUUCUUAAAAUAAAAUAUAGUUUGUUGCGUAAAUGAAUAGAAUAAUGAGGUGGCCUUUGCUUUGAGGGGUUGGUGUCUUUGAAGUGGAGACUAGGUCCCACAUAAGUCAGCCACUUUGACACACAGUGGAUCUUCACACUUUUUUUUUCUUUUCAACUCUCAUUUACUAUUGCUUGUUUGGCACACUUAUUAUUUAUUGUCAUUAUCUUACCCUAUUUUUUUUUCUUUUCUUUUCAAAAUUUGUUUUCUCACAUCAUUUCACCCCCCAUGCCUUGUUCUUUUCACCAUAAAGCUUUAACCCACAAAUGGAUAAAAGAUGACACUGCAGUGUCUUGGUGGUUAAGGGUGUUGCCUAUGCAAAACUAUGUACUUGGUUUGAAUUGAGCACAUACAUAUAUACACACUCUACCCUUCCACCAGGAAAAAAAAUCAUUGAUUGACUUGGCAUCCUUUUAUCAUUCGUAUAAUUUGAGUUGGAUCUAAUCAAACGUUACAAAAAUUAGUUUGUAAGAUGAUGACCCCACUCACCACCUAAAACAUAACUCGAGUGAUAAUUACAUCCGACUUAUAAUCGUAUUUUCAAACUUUUUAAAAAAAUUGUGGUUGAGUCUAACAUAACCCCACAAAACCGGCUUGUGAGGUGAGGAAUGCUCCCACUUAUAAAGAUAUUGUCAUAUCAUCUCUUAUCCGAUGUGAGACUUUUAACACACCCCCUCACGACCAGUAUUAUUGGAUUUGGUUCGUGGACAUAAACGGUGGAUGACCCAUUUGCGGAAAUCAGAUAGCAUGUGAUCCAAUGAAUUUUAAAGAGGCUCUGAUACCAUCUUAAAAUUCGUGAUUGGGUCUAACACAACCUCACAAAACUGGUUUGUGAGGUGAGAAUUAUCCAAUUUAUAAACAUAUGAUUAGGUUAUCUUUUAUCUCUGAUGUGAGACUCUUAAAUUUUUUUAUUGAAUAUCAUACAAGACUUUUAGAACAAUUAGUACCACAAGCAAAUUAAUUGUUACUAUUGUUUAACUACCUGAUUCCAAGCACCUGGCUUGUCAUAAAGAGGACUAUAAUUAGGCCAAAGGGAAAGAACAAUGGACCCAUUAGUCACUUCAAAUAAAUGUGAUCACUGAUCACCAAUGUUUGGCAUGGUCACUCAUUGUAUGGGUUGUCUUAUCCUUCCACACCUUUUUGCACCAUUGAUUAAUAUUUGAGACCUUGUUGAUAAUUGACUUACAAUCCAAUCCUGCAUACCCUAUUGAAUGCUUUGUUCUUAGGAACUAGGAAGUAUGUCAUAUUAAACCAACCAAUGUAGGUAAAGUUUGGUUGGAUUGUGAGUUUGAAUUUUAGGACUAACAUUUCUAAAAAUUGAUUAUUGACCUUUAUCAUUAAAAAAGUUCAAACAAAUUGGAAUGAAGGAAAUCUAAAGAAUCAUUUGUGAGAUUUUAAUAUGCUAAUCUUUCUUAAUACUCUAUCUUUCUUGGCUCAAUGAGUAGUAUUAUUUUUUUCUUAAUAACGUAGACAUUAAUGUUGGCUCCUUAUACAAGUAACAUAAUCUCUUCCUAAGUAGUGCCUUCCAAUCAUUUUAUUGAACUUGUUAAAUAUGCAAAGUGGGAUAACGUCGUAUCACUUUAAGUAACAACCUUAACUUCUUUGUCUUCAUUGAAACCAAUCAAGUUUGAGAAAGAAAAUUUCUCUAAUACAUCCAAAUUCUAAAGUCAGCCAUUAGUUAGGCAUUAUUGCGUGUCAAUUUUAAGGAUGAUUUUCCUUUUUAGAGGCAAUUUUUAAGAAUGAAAUCAUUAAAAAAAGUGUAGAAAUAAUUAGUAAUUCAUCUUGAAUGCGUUUGAAGUGCAUUUUAAUUAAUAUUUUUUUAAUGAAAUAUAAGUAAAUUAUAAUUACUUUUCUUCUGAAUGAUAACAAUGAUCCGAGGUGAAUCUCGUGAGCUGGCCAAAAUAUCUAAAGUAAGUGAGAAAACAUAAUUUUACAAUAUGUUAUGUUAAUCCGUGUUCCCGAGACAUUAGUUAAAUAAUUAAAAACAAAAAGAAACGACAAAGUUAGCUUUUAAAAAAACACUUUUUCAAGUUUAAAAAGGUAAAAUGCACAAUUUUUAAGAUAAACAUUUUCUUUUAUAAUACCUUAGCUAGUAUCCGGAGGUACCGGUUAACAUUUUCUUUUACAAUUAUGAAUAUCAUUCUAUCAUGAUGAAGAGAUGAAAAAUUAUCCAUAACUUUUUUGACAUCAAACUCAAAAUUAAUAGUGUUUUCCUUAUAGAAAACUAGUUUUGAUGUGCCUGCACACAGGUUUGGAUUCUCAACAAUAACGGUCCAUAUUUUAAACACAGUUUUACACUGUAAAGUGAUCUCAACCACCUAUUUGAAAUCAGACGGCCUAGAGGCUGCUGUAAAUGUGGGAAAUCCAAAAGUAUUGAUUUCUAUAGUAGCCAUAGGAUUCUUCUCAUGUGUCCCGAUUUGAGAGAUGGAAAUUAGUUCUAAUAUUGGUAAUAUGCCUCAUGCAUUUGAAUAUCAAGCACAAAGACAAGUUAGGUAACAAUAUAACACAGUACACAGUACACAGUAGUAAAACAAGUUUUCCAGAGCAAUAAAUGAAUAAGAACAAGCAGUUAUACGGUUUUGGGUAUUUGUGGACUCAAUUAUUACAUAUAGUUGCAGUUUCUGAUUGUUAUUUUUCUAGAAAAGAGGACCUGCCUCUUAAAAUCAUUAACUUGGACCAGCUUAACUAUGUCCAGAUUUAAACUAGCAUUAAUCAAACACCAACUACCACCCCCAUCACUCACUCUGUACUUCCAUUUAAGACUGUGUUACAGAUGAUUAGUCUCAGCCUCUGCUGGUUUAACAUUCCAAGCUUAUUAACACAAACAAGGUUAUUAACUUGAGAUGAACAAUGCGUAAUAUAUGUAAGUAGUUGAGAGGAAUAUUAUGAGUGAGGAUUAAGUUUCUUUGAGAAAACUUAAGUGUCACUGGCUAGUUACUAUUACUAAAACACCCAUAUUAAUUAAGUAGUUAAGUGGAAAGAAAUUUAAUAAAUAAAGGUAUAUUUUUUUAUUUUUAUUUUUUUGGUCAAGAAAGGUAUAUUAAUUAAUAAAUAUUAUAUUGAUAUUUUAAAGUAGUAACAAUUAUUUUAAAACAAAAAAAUAAUGCUAAAGUGACAAUUAAAACGAGACGGAGGGAGUAUAUAAUUGCACACCAUGUUCUUUAAAAAAAAAAUUGCUCACCAUGUAACUUAAAAUUUUAAAGUGUUGCAUAUGUUAUCAUUUUCAACACUAUCAAAUAUAUCCUCUAUUAUUUUAAGACAGAAAAAUAAUGCUAGUGAUAAUUAAAACGAGAUAGGAGGGUCUCCGUGAGUAUAAUUCAGUUGGCAAGGACAUGUAUUAUUAUAUGCAGGGGCUGGGGUUUGAACCCCAAACACUCCACUUAUUUACCUUAAAAAAAUUGAUUUCUAACCACUAAACUGCUUGACAAAAAAACAAAAAGACGGGAGGAGUAUAUAAUUACUUACCACGUAUCUUCAAAUUUUAAAGUGUUGCAUGUCCUUUCCUUAAAAAAAAAAAAAAAUAGUGUUGCAUAUCUUAUCAUUUUCAACACUACCAAAUAUAUCCUAUAUAUAUAUAUAUAUAUAUAUGAUCAAACAAUUAUUCAAAAUUAUAACCUUCAUGUUAUUGUGCAUUUGAUUCCAAUGCAAGCUCAAAAUUUAAAACAUCAUAAACACCGAGACCGUAAAUGCAAAAUCAAGACAAAAAUAAGAAUGAAGGGAGAAACUUAGAUUAUUGUCUCAUCACUCAGUUUUAGUAAAGGAAAAAAAGAAGAAGAGAGAUUUAGAAACAGGGAGGGAGACACCUUGAGAAGGGAGUAGAUUUACACACUAAUGAAGCUUUUAAUGAUGUGCCUAGAUGAAAGAAGAUUCCUUUGGGGGAUGAAUAUUUUCAUAAUGUUUUAUCCUUCAAAAUAAAAUAUAAGCAAAAAUAGUAGUUGAAAGAUCAAUAUACGUGGUUAAAAAUUUAAUCCACACUAGUGAGAUACUCGUGUGUACCAGCGUCAGAGCGAGAAAUUUUAUCGAGCCUGAGUAAAAUUUUGACUGUAAAUUCACAUAUGACAUAAUAUAUAAAUAAUUAUAAAUCGAAAUAAAAUAGGCUCGUCAUUUUGUCAAUAAAAGUACAAUUUAAAACAAGAGAGAUGAAACAUAACCUGUCAAAAUAAUUUGUUGGGCGUGCCAAAAUAAUAUGUAAUAUAAAUCAAACAGUUUGAUGAAAGAACAAUGAGUGACUAAUAAAAAUGGUAUGCACUACGAAUAGAGUAUUCAUCAUGAUUUUCUUUUUUUUAGAUGAGUCGAUCUUCUAUCACUAAUGGAUAGAGCGGUGUGUUCACUAUAUGUUCAACUACCUGGUGAUACAAAAUUGAUUGCAUGAAAGGUAGAUUACAUUCCUUGAGGUCGUGUAGCAUGCAAUUUAAGACUCUUAGAUCAGCUAGAGGGAAAUCCCCAUCAACAAGUGAGAUAAGUGUAACAUCAUUUGCAAUCCACUUGUUACACCAAACAGAGAUAUCAUCAGCAUCGCCUAUCCUCCUUCUGCUUUCAGCUUUGAGAAUAAAUUUAGAAUUACAUAUGCUUCGCCAUACAAAGCUAGGCUUAUGUCCUAAAGUCGACUCAAAGAAAUUGCACCUGGUAUAAUAUUUUGCCUUGUAAAGUCUAGCUACCAAUUAAUCAUGGGUUGUCAUAAGUCUCCAAUCCUAUUUUCCUAACAUAACUAGAUUAAAGGUAGGUAAAUUUUUUUAACUCAUACCUCCAUCAUUCUUGUGUAUAGACAUUUUAUCCCAAAAAAGCCAGUCAAUACCUCUAGUCCUCUACUUUGACCUUUCGAAUGAUCCCACCAAAAGGAAUUCAUCAUUCUUGUAUAUAAAUUAACUCUUUUGUUAUUAUUUCUGAAUGUUUGUAAGUAUAUUACGCAAAUGUUGUUGAGAGAAAAAUUAAACAAAAACAAAUAAUAGAUUUAGAAAAGAAAAAAAAAAAAAAAAAAAAAAAAAGAUGAAGAUAAAGAAGAUUAUAAAGUUAUACUUAUACUUAAGGAGAUCAAACUCUCUCUCUCAUUCCUUUGUUGUCUCUACAUGAUAUUGAGGUUGAUUGUUAGAUUGAUAUAAUGGAUAAGAGAUCAAUGCUCCUGAUCGUUUGAUGAAUCCAACGAUCUAUCUAUAAUUGCUGAGGCACUAAGGACAAAAGUAAUUUAAAUCAAUUCUUGAGAUAGUAUGCCCUCCUUUAAAAAAAAAAAGCCUAAAAUAUGCAUUUGAACCCUACAAAUAUGGGUUGGUAUGGUUUUGGUCCCUGCAAAAAGAAAAACUUUUGAAAUCCAUCCUUGCAAAAAAAAACUUUUUUAAAAUAGUCCAUGUACCCACUUUCUUGCUAAUUUGACGUAUUUUUGCUUAUGUGACACUUGAUGACUGUGUAUGAAUGUCACACGUAGAUUUUAAUUGGAACAAAAAAAAAUAUAAAAUAAAUUAAUGAAUCCAAAAUUCUAUUUUGUUUAUUUUUAUUUCAAUUUCUUAAUUUUAAAAUAUAGCUUAAUCAGUCAUUGUAAACUUAGCUCAAUUUGUAAGAACUUCAUGCCUAAAUUUCAUUCUUCAUUUUUUUCCCUUUAUUCUACAAAACUUCAUUCUUUUUCUCUUUCUUUUUCUACAUCCUAUUCGAAAAACUUUCUUCAUCUAUAUUAAAAAAGGAAAGGAGAUAAAUUUUUCUAGGCAUAAACAAUAUCAACCCAUUCAUCUUCAUGCCUAAAUUUAAAUUUUGAUCAGAUCUGGAUCUACAACCCCUUACACACAACUAUCAUCAACAAGAAGCAGUCAUAAUCAAUCCUUUCAAUUUUUAUCCUAAGUUCAAAGAACACAAAACAAUCAUCAACAUUGCGUCGAACAUUGCAAAUGAAUCUCACACCAAAAAUUUCGUUUCAAUCUUCCUUCUUUUUCAAGAUCCAUAAUCACAAUAAUCACAUCCAUUCUUUUUCCUCUUUCUCAUUUUCAACCCAUGGCUUCCGUCGAAGAGCUCAUCAUCGUCGUUGUUGCGCAAUGGGUUGUUAUUACCUACUCUACACUGAGUUGCUCACUUUAUAGGAGCUGGAUCCCAUAAAAUUGGGUUUCCAAAGUUAGUAUAUCCGGUAGGUUUAAAAACAUUCAAUCACCUAUAUCAUCCAAAAGGUAAGUUCUACACAUACUGGAAUUAUACUAUAUUGCUAAAGAAGUUAACCUCCAAAAUGUAAAUCAAGUUUGAAUAAUUGAUAGAAGGAAUUAAAACCGGCUUAUGGGAUGUAUGAGCAAAAACACAAAGGGUGCAUUAUGCAACCCCAGUGUAACACUAUGAAAAAUGUUAAGGAAAGUAGAUAGCGCAGCAAUUAUCAAGUAUGGAGAAUGUUAAAGAGUGCCCCAAAAACAUUAAUUAAACAUGCAAAACAAGUAAAUUUUCAUUAAAAAAAAUGGUGUAAUCAUUAUUUAAUAAAAAAUAAUAUUUUAUAUUUUCGAGACAAAAUUUCUAUUUAUGAGUUCCUUAACCAAUGUCUGUAUAUAUGAAACUAGAGACUUUCUUUUCCCACCCCCAACGUAAAACCACAUUUGUGUCUAAAGUAUACUCUCCAAUGUCAAAAAAUGUUUUUCCCCAUAAGUAUGCUUCAAAGAGACUUUGGGGUGGGAAAAGAAGUUCUCUCUGGAACUAUGCAAGAAUCUCAUGAGAGAGGAGCAAUGAAUAGCCGGCAGAACAGCUAUACUAAGAUAUGAUACGACCAACAUACAUAAUAGUAAUAUCAAAAAUAUGAGCAAAUUAUGUGCUAAGCUGCUCUUCAAUUUCAUAUAUAUUCAUUCCAUUGCUCAUGCUAACCUUCAACUAUUACAUCACUCAUUAUACGAGAUCAGAAACAAACUCUAGAUUCUCACAAUCAAAUUUUCAGCUGCUCCAACCUCUGCACUGUUUCAGAUCCUGCUGGAAUAUUCUCAGUUUUGGUGUCGGUUUUAUCUGAAUCACUGGUUGGUGCUGGGUCAUCUUUGCUGACAAGAACAGUUUCAUCUAUUUUAACUGCUGAAGCUGCUGGAUCAUCUUUGCUGAUAGGAACAGGUUCAUCUACUGGAAUUGGUAGGGCAGCAUUUUCUGCUGGUGAUGGAUCAACUUUGCUGACGGUAACAGGUUCAUCUAUUAUAACUGGUGGAGCGGCAUAAACUACAGGUGCUGGAUCGACUUUACUGAUGGGAACAGGUUCAUCUACUCGAAGCGGUGUAGCAGCAUUUAGUACUUGUGCCAGAUCAUUUUUGCUGAUGGGAAUAGGUUCAUCUUUUCGAACCGGUGGAGCAGAAGCAUAUACUGGAACUACUUGCCGAAUAUUGAUCGGGGGAGCAACUCGUACAGGAAGUGGCCGCAUUACUUGAGGGGACACGGCGGCUGGUGGCGGGGAGAAUACAGGUAUUGCAUUCCUUACGGUAACUGGAGGUGCAACUCCCUGGCAUGAUGAUCGCAUAUGUCGAAUGGGAACAUAAGGUGCUGCUCCUGCCGCAGGGAAUUUCGGGCGACGGGUCCAUCGGCUUUCUGGUGUAGAAGAAAACGGUGACAUAAUGGAACUGUGAUCACUGCUGGCUGACGCCGUUGCGGGAUGCCUGCUUCGAGGUGCUGUCUUUUGGCAAAUUAGAGGAAGAAUCUUUGAUGUUGCUGGCCGAGGUUGAGGGCUGGUUGGCCUUGGAUUUUGAAACUGAAACUUCAUUGGAAAUGAAAUCAUAGCAUUUGGAUUUGACAUUGCCAUCUUUUCCUUCAGACGGUAAUUCAGUAAGGCUCGUGCUAUGGUGAUCUGUUCUAGUUCGUCAUUGUUCUCCGGUUCAGUUGAAGAGCUUGCAGUUUCUUUCGCCACUGUCAAUGAACAAAAUUAUUAUCAAUUUUAGAUUUAAUCAUAUUUGGAUAUAUAAACUAUAGUUGUUAACUCCGUUGCUAAUAUAAUGGCUACUACUCUACCAAAUAUUAAGGAUAUAAUAUAAAUUAAGUUCACAUGAAUUCUUUAAAAUGAAAGUUCACUUAAAUUAAAGACAUUUAUCGUUUAUAGUUGAAAGUCUUAGUGUAACGUACAACCACCAAUCUAAGGCAUUGUGAUCAAGUAAACAAUCAAACAGCUAAUUCUAAUAGCUUUUCAUUUUAGGAUCAAAAUAGAUUGUUUUGAUUAAAUGAUUUUUCUUAAAAUCCUAAACAAACACUUAAAAAUGAAAAAAGUGAUUUUUUUAAGAAAAAUAAUAGAUUUCUUUUGAAAAAAAAUCUAAAACAAACGGGCCAUGAAUUGCAGGGUUGUAGUUGGAAAACAAAUAGAAAAACACGGUAUGCUAACAGAGGGUGAGGCUUCAGGUGAUUUUUUAAUGGAUGACGAGAAUCCAAUCCCUAGAUCCAUUGUUCCUGCUCAGCCAUGAUAUUCCAAAUCAAAAAAUGAUGCAACAAAGAACUCAAAACUGAUAUUGUCAAAUAGAAGUUAUAGUGUGGCAGAAUUUAAACAAAUCACUAUGGUUCUGCAAUAUGCCAUUUAGUGCAAAGUGUUGCCAAAUCACAGCGCUAUAGACUGUAGUGUAGCGCAAUUUGAACAAACCACCAUUAAUAGCAAUCCAUGAUUGACAGCACUUCUUAAAACAGCCAGAAGCUGUUCCAUUCUGCACUGCUACUGUAGUGCUGUGAUUCGCUACUAUUAAAAACAGAUAAAAAGAAGAGCAAAAAUGAAAUUUAUACGAAUGACUGGAAUAAGGGAAACUGUACUAGGUUGGGUAUUGCUAGGGUUUCAAAAACAAGUAUGCAAGUUCUGUGACCGCAAUUAUUGCUAGGGUUUCAACACCAUAGUUCAUGGGACAAUUGAUGCAAAAGUUUCAUAUUUCUUUCAGCGAAGAAAAUCGUCUACAUAGAAAAGCUGGGUAGCCACUUACAUUGCUUUAGAGACGACCAAGCUGCCAUAGCUGCAUUUUUCUCUGCUUGUUUCUUAUUCUUGGCAUGUUCGCCAGUGAAUGUAAUUCCAGCUAAUUCCACCGUCCCGGUAAAAACAGGUAGAUGUCCUAAGCCUGACCGGAAAGUUGUGUACUGCGGCAAUGGAGCCCCUACCCUUUGUGCAAUUUCUUGUAAGAGAUUCUUGUACACUCCCGUCUCAUCCUGAAAUUUUGUAAGUGAUAAGUAUUCAAACAGAAAAAUUACCAAUGACACAAUGAAGACAUGCCAUGCAAUGUGAAUUGAUAAACAUUUAAACACUGACAAAAGAUACUUUGAAGAAAAUGCUCAUAGAAUAUGCAUAAAAUAUAUAAUGAAAGCAUAGUUCAAAAUUUCGGUCCACGAUAUUAAGAUUUUAGAAGUCUCCACAAUAGCAUUGCAACUGCAAUUGCAACCACAUUUUGCCGCAAUGUCGACAUUCACAAUGUAACCACAACUGCAAUUUAGAACCAUGGCUGAGGGAAAAUGUGAGGUAACUGUAAAUACAGGAGAAAAUUGGAACCUGAACUACAUGGUAGGAUCCUACAAAUUCCACUUUAGAAGACAACUAAAAGGACAGAAUCUAUUUUAUAUUUCAACAAUUUUUUUGUACAUUACAUAACAUUCUUGAAUAUAUGAGUGUAUAUAUAUAUGACAGACACAACAAAAAGGCGGUUAGCCAGCAUAAAGGAAAAAAGCUUCUUUGCAAAUUAUAUACAACAAAUCAGUGGAAAGCCCAAUCCCCUCUUAAGAAGCAAAAUCUUAGUGCAUAUAUGUUUGAUUCACUUCGAGUUUGUCACAAUAUCACGAUUUCAGUAAAAGAUACUCUUUGGAUCUUCAACAAAAUCACAGUUCUACUGAUCAUGUCAAACUCAACGGAAUUCAAAAGACGCCCUUACAUCCUCACUCAAGAAACUAUGAACUAUUUACAAAUUGCCAAUUUUACCCCCAUUAAAAAAAAUACUAUUCAAUGACAAUCAUCAUCAAGUACAUCAUCACCUUCAUUAAACCAGUAAAACAAAAAUAAAUCAAAAUCAUCAAAGAAUAAAACAUUACACAAUAACAAAAUCAACUCAUAUAAGUAUUGCAUAAAUAAAUCCUAAACAAAGGACAAGUACAUUUGUCUCGUAAGUACAACUCAGACGAUAAAAGACUACAGAUAUAUACAGGGGCGGAAGUUCAAACCCACAAUUAUCUAUUUAUAAGUAGUUAAUGUGUUUGAGUUUCGCCGCUAGACUCUUUGAAAAUAAAAAAGGACAAGGGCAAUUAUGUAAUUCAACAACAGAAACAAAAAACAAACUGAAACAGAAGCACACCGACAGAAGAAAAACAAAAAGCAAAACUGAAAGAGAAACAAACUCACAAGGAUUUUUGCAGCAAGAGAAUGAGAAGGACCACGAUGAGACAAAGAACUAAGUGCCACCUCAGCAGCUGAAUGUUCAGCUUGACGAAGUGUUGUACAGUACUGAGGACUUUCAAAGAUCUCGCCGUUAAAGUUAACGGUAGCUUUAAACCGCGGCGCGUGAUCAGGACCUUCUCUUAUGCACGUGUAUGAAGGUAGGUUGAAACAGCUUCUUUGUGCCAGCUCUUGUAGCUGGUUCUUGUACAUUUUCUCUCUCCUCACUUUCUUAGAAAGUGAGUUAACGUUGAAUGUUCCAGUGCUGUACCGUACCCAGUACAGAUCCGAUCCGUUUUGGGAGACGGGUCGGGUUGAAAUGGUUUAAAGGUGGAAGCUUUGGUUGCUGUGUAGGUGAAUUAGCUUCAGAGAAAUCAUGGGUUGUUUUCUGUUAAGGGUUUAGAGAAGAGAGAAAGUAGAAAGAGAAAGUGAAGAAAGAAAGGAAGAAGAUGAAGAGGAAGAAAAUGAGAAUUAGAAAUGUUUUGAUUUUGAUUUAAUAAUAAGAAUAUUAUAGUAUAUGAGAUUUAAUGUUAUAUUAUUAUAAUGUUAGUAUAUUGAAAAAUGAGAAAGUUAUUUAUUGCUUUGUUUGAUGGGGAGUCAACUGAAGUGUUUGGUUGCAUGGAUGUGAUCUUUCUUUAGAUUUUUUUUUCUUUUUGUUUUUGUUGGAAUCUGUUUUUCUCUAUGUAACGUACACUAACUAAGUUUUUAUUUAUAUAAGGGAUAUUUUAAGUUGUGUCCUUAAUACACUAGUUAAAGAAAUUAAAAGUGGUAAAUUUACAUUGAAUUUAAUAAUUUUUUAAUUUUUCAAAAGUUAAAUCUAUCAUUUUUUACUAUUUUUUAAUACAAUAUUUUUAAAUUUGUCUUCUUAAUCAAUGUCUUAAGGACAUUCUUUAACAUUUUCCUUUAUAUAAAUAUUCGUAUUAUUAAGAGUCGGAAAAAAGCAAAUGAGAUGAGUCCUCGAGUAAAAAGUAUGAAAAAUGUUUAAAGAGUAUCAUUAUCGUAUUGAUUAAGAGAACAAAAAUAAAAAUAAUACAUUGAAUAGAAGUAAUAAUACGUUGAAUAGAAGUAAAAUGUGUUGAAUUUAACUUUUUAAGUGUUUAAAAGAUGUUGUUUGCAAUGCAAAACUAUUUACUUUUUAGCAUGACCCUUUUUGUUAACUCAUUGGUUUUGUGGGGAAUAUGUUCUUAUUGAGUUUUAUGUGUUUAUUAAAAAAUGAUUAGUAAUACUAAUUUUAAUGGUAAAAUGAAUUUCAUUUAUUAAAAUACUUUUAUAAAUUAUAGUUAAUGAUGUAGUUAGAUGAUUAAAAUGCAAUAAAAAAUAUAUGUUAAUGGAAAAGAAUAAUAAAUAUUGUGUUAGUAUUGUAAAAUGGACAAAUAAUCUUCUUAAAAGAGAAAGAGUGAAGACAAAUAAUUUGAGACAAGAAAUCACCACCAUAAAAAAAUUGAGACAAGAAAAAAUGGUAAAAAAUAUAUUUAAUUCGAGACAGAGGGUGUAUGUAUAUUAUACACAUUUCUAAUACAUUUUUAUUAGAAUUUAAUGUACAAAAUUGAUCAACAAAAAACAUAGUUGAGAACUGAUUUAGGUGGUUGGGAUAAGAGUGUGUUUUACCUUCAAAUUUAUCGAGUCUUCUUAAUUUUAUGUUUGAAUUAGGGGAGAGAAUUGAGAGGUUAUGUUUCUUAUUUAUCUGGCAAUUUGAUGUGUGGUCCUUGUGAAAAUUCCGAAAUGCUCACAUCUUUUCGAGUAAUAAGAUAUUUGUACUCUAGUUAGUGGAUAUGGUUAAAUUUAUAUCAUGGAAGUGAUUUAUGGAAAAACACUAUGGUCAAACAUGUUCCUUCUAUGAGUGUCAUCGUGAACCCGUUCUGUGUUGCCUUCGAUAAUGUCUUGUGGCAGAUUUGUAUUGGGGUUGAUUGAUUGAUGGGGUUAUGUUCCUAGUUUUCCUUUUGUUAGGUUGUUGUUGGGUGUUCAUGAUAGGAAUUUAGAUGGUUUUCUGGUGUUGUUUAGUUUUCGCUCUUAUUUUUCUGUGUGAAGAUUCUUUGUUUUUGUGGAAAGAAAUUUGAGGACCAGUUUAACUAUCUAAAAGUCAAUAAAAAAUAAAUAAACUCCUUUGGUCACCUUGUUUUAAAAAUUACCUAGUGAUGGUUCAUUUCUUAUAUUUUUAAUUAAAAAAUUAUGAUGUGAUAUAUUUUAAAUGACGUGUCAUACGACACUUCAUCUGUCUCAUAGGAAUUGUCAUUUUUACAUUUUUCUCCGUCUCAAAAUAAAACAGGUGAGUGUUACAAAUAACUUAUUGUUAAAAAUGAUAUAAUUAUUAUUUAAUCAAAAGUUAAAAUUUAUAUUUAAGACAAAUUUUUUAUUUAUAAUUUCUUUAACCAUUGUUCCGAAACAUGGUUUGGCAAAACCCAAUAAUACAAAAGGUUUGAUGUUGAGAGACAGUUAAUGAACCGCGUAAUUGAAAUUAAUAGCGUGUUUAGGCCUUUUUGUUUUAGUGGUACGUACUAGCUAGCUAGCACCAAGGUCCUGGUUUUUUUUUCUUCUUGAUUUCACUUUAAUCAUAUUAAUUGAACUUUGGUUUAAAUGUAGUACUUUUUUGUCCACUUUUGAUUGACUUAACUUUAGGGGUACAAGUUGAUCCUUUAAUUUUUAAAUGUACUAGUAGUAGUUUGGUUAUUUAGUUUAACAAAAUUAAUUUAAGUUAAUCAUUUAGUCAAUUACUACUAACUACAGUAUGUUAAAUUUUGCUUGCGUGGCAGAUACGUGACAAACAACACAAAUAAAAAUGCAAAAUUUUAGUUGCAUAUCAUAUAAUUGAAACCGUAUAUUGUAUGGAGAUUAGCCUCUUUUGCUAUAUUCAAUCUCAUUUGGUUUAGAUAAUUUCUUUUAUAUUAAAAUUUUCAUGACAUUAUGAUGCAAAUUUUCUUGCAAACACAUAAUUUAUUAGUUGAUAAACUUCAAUAAAAAUUUAGCAUAAAAAAUGCGUUCUCAAGCUAAAAUUCAACCAUUAAACACGAGCAAAGUAAUAUAUUGACAAAUUCGUAAAACUCACCUAAAAAUUGGGGUAUUCAAUCACUUUGGACCACUUCUUUUAUAUUGUAUUUUAUUUAGAAUUUAACUUUUUCCGAAUGCACUUUAAUUAAAGUUUGUAAUGUUAUUAAACAUAGAAUAUGAACACAAUUAUACACUAACCACAAUUCGACGACCAUAUUUGUAGAACAGUGCCCCUCUUUCCAUAUUGUUGUGUUUGUAAAGCAUCUUACGGGCCUCUCUACGUUAUUGUAAAAAGAAGUUAGGCACACAAAAAAAAAAAAAAAAAAAAAAAAAAAAAAAAAGAGGAAGGAAUCAUCCUAGUACGUAUAAGAGUAUAUUUUAAUGAUAUAAUUUUGGCUUAAUUAUCUUUUUGGUCCUCUAAUUAUUUAAUUGGUAUCGGAUUGGUCCUCCAACUAAAAAUUGAUUUAUUUCGGUCCUCCAGGUUUUUCACCGUUACUACAUUUAGUCAUUUCUGUUUGUUUUUAUUCAAAUAAACGUUAGAGUUUGUGUUAUGUGGGUACCUGACCUCCUGUUUCACACAUAGAUAUGAACCAUAACAGUUACCAAUAAUAUCAGUCACUAUUUAAUCAUAAUACCUUAACAAGAAAUAAAAACAAAAUGAUACUAAUAAAUAAAGUUAGAGGACCCACAUAACACAAACUCUAACGUUUAUUUGAAUAAAACUAACAGAAAGGAUUAAAUGUAGUAACAGUGAGAAACUUAGAGGACCGAAAUAAAUCAAUUUUUAGUUAGAGGACUAAUCUUAUACCAAUUAAAUAGUUAGAGGACCAAAAAUGUAAUUUAGCCUAUAAUUUUUCAUUUUCAUUAAAAAAAAAUUACCAUUAUUUAAAGUAGUUACAUAAACCUUUCAAAAAUAUAUUUACAUUAAACAUAAAUAAACUAUUAAUAAAAUAUAUUUUUGAUGGAUUAAGAGAAUUUUUUAUUGGAAAAGAAUAUAUUUAUUCUUUUAUAAAUAUGACACAGCAUUGACUAUUUUUGCAUUAAAAAAAGAAAAUGACACAUCAUUGAUUUUUAUUUUUUUUAUAAUUGAGGCCUAUUUCUAAAAAAAUAAAUUGUUAUAUUACCUUGAUAUGUAAAAAUUGUUGAUUUUUUAGGUAUAAAUUAGACCAUAAAUAUGAAAGACAAAACUUUCUCACAACAUGGUUCUUUAUUAAUAGUUGCUUUCAUUGAAUAUCAACUAUGGUUCUUUAUUUUUGUCAAAAAAACACUUUAGUUCUUUAUGAAAAAUCAACUAGAGACCUUUGAUUAAACUCAUGAAAAGGGAAAAUGUUAUUUCAUCCAACUAUUCUUUAAGUAAAUUGUUAUUAAUUGUUGAUUUUUUAAUGAUUAUGUAAAAGUAAGUUGGAACAUUGAGAAUAAUUAUGAAAAGAUUUACGCAAAUAGGUAAUGGCUCCAAACAUGGUGGUCAUGAUGGUAAAAGUAAAACAGAUGCACUUGCUUUUUCAUAAUGUCGUUAAUAAUGCAAGAGCCACUCAAGUUGAAGGACCAAUAACAUGAUGUCACGUGACUUGAAUUUGUGAGAUUACUCCCUACUUUUCGAUUCCAUAUUCACUAAAAAAAAAUCUCCAAAUAUACCUUAGAAAAUAAGAUAGUACUAGUUAACAUCAACUAAGUAACAAGUAUAUAAUAUUAGUUGAAAAUUAGUACUAGUUGUGAGAUUACGCAAAUAUAUUUGAAAAUUAGAAUGUUAAUUAGUGCCCUUAAAAUAUUAUUUGAAAUACUAAAUAUAAUAUGUUUAUAUUAGGACAAUAUUCUCUUUACUAAAAUCUUUAAACGUUACUCUUAUAACAUUCGUUAACUUAACCCUAAAUAUUUGUGUUUUUUUUCUUCAAUAUGAAUGCAUACUAUGGUGGCUUCUCUUUUUGUAAAUGACAGACGACGACAUAGGUAGGGGGAUAAUAAAAGGUGAUAGGAUAGUUAUCUUGCCAAUUAUAAAAAAGGAAAAGUUAUGUUGCCUUAUUCAAUAUCGAGCAAGGUGAUAAGAUCAUCUAUUUUAUAAUUUUUUUAGUGAUAAUACUUAAUAAUCAAUCAAUCUCAUUAACACAGUUUAUACUUCCUUCGUUCUUUGUAUGUUGGCACCCUUCAUCUGUAAUAAAAGGGUGGGACGGAGGGAGUAUAUUGAAAGUUUAGGACUCACAACAAGAUAGUGAAAAAAGAGAGUGUAUCUAUAACAAUUUUUAUCUACAAAUAUCAAAAUCUAUUCAUUCUAUAAUGAGGGUGUUUAUUUAGUUUGAUGUUAGAUAGAUGAAGGACUACCAUUUUAUAUGCUUUAAGGAGUUUUCUAAUACUUAGUAUAUCCUAAUUUUUUUUUUAAUGUUUAAAGUAUUUUAUUUUAUACCCAUUUUAACUAAGAUUAUUUUAGCAAAAUGUAUUUAUAUCAAACUAUUUUUAUUUUAUAUCAUUGAUGAAAAUAGAGAUGAUUUCUUAAUAUGUUAAUAAUAUGCAGAUAAAAAAACACAUAAACAGUGUAUACAAAUAUUUUUUUAAUUGCAUCUGAGGUGUAUUUUUAAAAUGAUAUUGCAUCAUACACAAAUGUAUCUUUUACUAUUCAAUUUUUUUGGUCAAUUUACCUCAAAGGUGAAUAAGUGGGGUGUCCGAGGUUCGAACCUUGGCCCCUGCAUAUAUGCCAUCUUUUAUCAUUUGAUUAAUAAAUUAUAUCAUAUUUCAUUUAAUCUAAUGAUGAAAUUUAUUGAUUCAAUAAUGUAAACUUUUUUUUGAACAAACAAAAAUGGAUUAUAUUAACACUGCAAUAAUGUAAACUAACUUGUGCAUAAUGCAAGACUUGUUUCACUUGCGUGUCAUAGAAUUGGUCUAAAAGAUGGUAUUAAUAUUUGGGUCGUGCUAACUACUGUUUCUGAGAUAAUUUUAUUAUAUUUCUUAAGACACUUAAUAUUUUUCUUGUGUAAAAAAAAAAGGACACUUAAUAUUUUCCUUAAAAGUUUUUUUUUAUGUUCAUUCAAUAUGACUAAGUGGGGAACAUAACUUUUUGUAAUCUCCGAAAUUGCUGAAUAGAGCAUUUGACAAAAAUGGAGCCACCGAAUCCACAAUGAAGAAGACCAACGUAAAUGAUGAAAGAGGCUUUGUGAAGAAAAAAGUUUAUUCUUAUUUAUUAUUUCUUCCCCACCUAACUAAUGAACACAGUCACCACCUUAUCAUCAUCGUCAUCCAUGCAUUUAAUGGACCAUCACAUUAUUUUGGUACACAUGACAUUCCAUGGAAGAACCGUAUAUGUCACUCACUCAUAUACGAGAAUAUAUUUUCUAAUAUCAAAAUUAUAUUUAAUUGUUAUAUCCAUUUUUUUUUUUUGUGAGCUUUGUUAUUGACGGGUUGGUGUAAAGAUCUCUAUACUAUGACAUUUUGGUACAUAUGUCAUUCUAUGGAACACUGUCUAUACUACUAUUACUACUUUUAUUUAGAAUUUUUACUUUUAUUGUCUUCCUUUAUAUAGAAUUCUCUUUAACUUUUAUUGUAUUGCUUAUUUUUUUACUAAAAUAUCCCUAACUAUUUUCACAUUUCUUGAAUUUUAGUGGUAGGCUUCAUUCCUGUAUUCAACUUUUGGAGAUGAUGAUCAAGCAAUUACAACUUACUAUUGAUUAAAGUAAACGGCUCUUUAAUUUGGAUAUCUUUUGGAUUUUGGAUUCUUUAUCUGAUAUAGAUAGCGAACUUAAAAGAAAUUAUCUUAAGGACACAUGCUGAUAUUUCUCUUAAUUAAGAGAAAUGAUAUUUGUAUAAUCAUUUUUGUACAACCUUCUCUCUCAUACUCACAUUAUCUUCUUAUUCUCUCUCUUUCUUUUUCUCUCUCUAUUGUUUUUAACCAAUAAGAAGAGAACACAACAAGGUUGUCCCAAAAGUUAUACCAAAAGAGUUGUUCAAAUAUCACUGCUCCUUGUUUAAAAACUAUAUGAAAAGUAAGUUUUAUAUAAAAGAAAUACUCGAUUGAAUAAUUCAUAGUUAAGUUAGUUCAAUUUGAUUCGAUUCUAAACAAUUAACAAAUAACCAUGGUUAAAUCAAUAGACAAACUAAUCGAUUUCUUGUUCAACUGGUCGAUUUAGUGCUAUUGUGAUCUCGUCAAGUUCAAAUUCAGGAUUUGUUUUGAAGUGAUUUGAUUUCAUUCCAUGUUCACAUAGUUUAUUUCCUUUUUCAUGUGUUCUUUUUAGUAAAGUACACUCUCUUUUCUUAAGAGAUAUUUUAGAUUACACGACUCACCCAUCCCAUGUUAAAAUAUACAUUAUCAUAUCCUCUUUAGCAAUUACUCCUAAUUGGUUAGAUUUUCGACAUUAAUACCUUAUUUUUAGCAGUUUUAGUAUGAGUACAAUGACUAAAGACAAAAUCAAAUAAAUUUCAAGAUACAACAUAUUUGAAGCUUUUAAUUGGUGAUGUUUUGAUUUUUGCAUUGAUUGUACUUGGAAACUAUAGGGUCUUGCAAGAAUCAUUGGUUAGAAGUUAGAACUUCUAUCACAAUUUCGUCAAAACAAGUGCACGGUUGAACUUGAAUUGGACUUCAUGGAAAAAGCGGGAAAGUAGGCAUGUGUCUGUAGUCUGUUUUGUACAAUUUAUGAUGUAGGUACAUCUACUUUUUUUUACCGAGUCUUGGCAAGUUUAAUGGAGGAAAUAUAAACUCAGAUAAAUGAACCAAAAGAACAAAAAAGAAAGAACCCAUCAUGUGAGGAUGAGUCUUUUUACAUUCUCUUGGUUAUACUAACAUAGCACUAGAUUGCAUGCAGGUGUUUGUGGAAAUUAGUUGUCUCCAUUAAGAAUCUCUCAUGUUUUAUCUGUUGGAUUAAUCUUCACCAUUCAAACACCAGCCAAUUCACUGAUGCACAAGUAAUUUUCUUCACUUUUAGAUCGAUAAGGCUCACCAUAUCACACUUGACACUGUAAUCUUAUUUUUGUAUCAUUCCACUCGUUCCAUUCCAUCCAUCCAAACAGAGCCUGGACAUUGUAAUCUUAUUUUUGUAUAUCAUUAAUUCUACCACCAUUAAAAAUGAUGUUGUCGGAAACAGGUGAUAAUAAUUUUCACAAUGGAUAGUUUCUUUUUCAAAUAAAAAGAAGAAAAAAAAAACUAAUAGAAAUUGUAAAAGAAAUAAAUGCUAGAGGAAUUUUAUUUAAUAAAAAAAUUAUAGUACAUGUUUACAGAAUUUGCAAAUAAAUCACCAUGAAAAGGGGCUAGCUCCUAGCAAAAAUAUUUCAUUUUCCACAUCUUUUAUCCAUUGACAAACACGGUUGCAUGUCUUUAUUGCCAAGGCCUGCAUAUAUUCAACAGUGUACAAACAUUUGAGAAUUUAUCAAACUAGAGUUGCAAAGAAAUACAUGUACAGUAAUUUGUAAAAUUUGACCAUUUGCUUAUUUAAUAUAGCUUUCCCUACUUUUUACAAACAAGUAGACAAAACAGCUUUGCUUUUUAAUAAAAAGACCAAAUGCAAUCCGUGGUCCUUUAAGUUAGAGGUUACAACAUAUUAGUCUUUUAAAUUAUUAUUUUUGUAACAAAUUGAUUGUUUAAGUCAUAAAAUAUGUACACCCUUUGAUAUAUAUAGACCAGAUACAUCAAUUAUUCAACGAAUCUGAAAAGAUUUUUUUUUUUUAUAAUAGUGACCGGAGGAGGGUGUACACCAUUACCCUUUUUUAAAUUUUCCUUCAAACUCAGAUAAAAAACACUAACAUGGACGUUGUAAUGGUGACGUGGCAAGUACAGGUAGGAUUACAAUCAAUAUUUUAUUGUGUAAAAUAAUUUAUUUUAUUAAAAAUAUAAAAUCCAAAUUAAAUAAUUAGGGUUCUUAAGACUCUCUAAUCAAACCCAGAAAUUACCAACCCUCUUUCAAAUCUCAACACGACCUCUUCAUCAUCAUCAUCAUCAUCAUCAUCAUCAUCAAGUGUUUUCUCUAUGGAAUUUUCUCUUCUCCAUCUCUCACAUCAAGUGAGAUCAAAACCCUUAUUAUUCAUCUCUAUGUCAAUCUCAGAACCGUUUUUUUUAUUAAAACUGUUACUUCUCUUCCAUUUAAAUUUGAAUUCAUCCCACCUUUGGUUCAACCCAACCGUACAAUUUCAAUUUCACGCAAACUCAAUAAGAGGGAAUCCCUUGUUUCUUAGGUAAUAAUUCAUAAUUAACCAUAUCAUAAACAAUGCAAUUACAGUGAUUUUUUUGUGGAUCUGUCCUUUUUUAAUUUCAAAUGUCUACAACACUUAGAAGAUUGGGGUUCAUUCAAUGAAGUAUAUUGGGUUUUUAUUGUUGAUUUGUGCCUUCAAAUGUAGGUUACUAGUUUCCAUGUCAAUGUCAAUGAUAUUGCUGUUGUUGUUACAGGCAUCGGAUACGGGUUGGGGGUUUUGUUUUGAGGAAAAGGAAGGAAGGGACAUGUUUGGACUGGAUGAAGGUGCAGGAGUGAGAGUGCGGAGUGUGUGUUGUUCUUGCAUUUGCGUUGUUGAGGGACAGAGAAUGCAUGCUUUGUUCCCUCAGAUUGCUUCCCUGAUGAAUGGAUUUGAACGACAAUGUUACGGAUGGAAAUGGUUUAGGCUGGAAAUUGCUGGGACCAAGCUUGAUGUUCUACCAUGAAGAGAUUGAAAGAGAGCUGGUAAUUUCUGGGUUUGAUUAAAGGUUUUAAGAACCCUAAUUAUUUUAAUUUAGGCUUUCAUAUUUAGAAUGUAUUUUAUAAAAUAUUGAUUGUAAUCCUAUGUGGACUUGCCAUGUCACCAUCUUUUAACAGUUUGACGCAAAAAUUAAAAAAGGGCAAUGGCGUACACAAUUUACGACUCAGGAUAAAUAUUUAACAAAAAAAAAAUAUAAAGGACUAAUAUUUUACAAACCUCUAACUUAAAGGACCAUAGAUUGCAUUUGGCCUAAUAAAAACUACACCAAAUCCUUAUUUUAUUUUUUUAAAGAGAAGAACGGUAUGCAAAACAUCCAUAAUGAUCGAUUCAAACUUCUAAUACUUUGUUUUCAAACAGGUCUUCAUCGACAGUUAAUUAUGAAUCUAUGCCUAGACACUGAUGGAUAACAUAAGGGAAGGGACAUUCAAGAAAAAAAGAAAAAAUUGUACCUUGUCUGCAAGGGGAUCAAAGGCAGCAUAAAGCUCAAAAUCCUGUGUCACCCAACAUAAAAGAACUGCCACGAAAAAGGUGAUAUGAGUUUCAUCGAAGUUUAAGUGGUUAUCUUUUAUUGGUAUAAAUCUAAAAACUGUCCUCGUGGUGAACCAGCUAAUUUCUCCAUAGAAUAAAGUUUCUUUCUAAAAUAACCAUAAAAGCUUAAAAUUGAGAACAAAGCAAUAAAUAAAAAGACAUGAACUUGUACCCAACCGCUUCAAUUUUCCAUAAAAGAUUGUAUUUGGAAAGAAUCAACUUUUCAAGAAUAUUCAGCAAAUGUAAAUUUGCUCAAAUUAAUUCUGUUUGUGUAUUGGUAAGUAAAAUUACCAAGAAAGAUACAAAAGUUAAAUAUUACGAGGAAAAAUUUGUAAAAGUAUGAUCAGUGUGCGUCAAUGCAUUUAGACAUAACAGACAUAGGAAAAAAAUAAUUUAACAUCCUGCUAAAUGCCGUUUCACGAAAAACCAAUGUAAAAAAUGUAUUAUGCCAUGUCCUUACACAUGCAUAUUCUCCACCCAAUUAACAAAUAGUCAAAAUGAAGACGCACAAUGCAGAUAUCCAUUUUACUUGAGACAGAAUCCCCAAAAAUAUGCGGUAAGAGCCACAAUAUUUAUUACCAUAGUUUUCAUCUCUUCUAAACUGAGUUCUGUGUGGUCCGAUUCCUUUAUCAUGCAUUGAUGCAAAAAGUUUCUGGUAAGCUCUAUACAAUCUGCAAUAAUUAAGUAGGUUAUAUUUCUGACAGAAAAAUACACAACGGCGGUGAAAAAUUUAAAAAGGCCAUAGCACCUAAAGACAUAAAAAGUUGAGAUAACGUAAAAAAAAAAAAAAAAAAAAAAUAGCACCUUUUCUGCUGUUGACGAGUACUAAUUGAUGAUGAAAACUCUGAAGAGACAUACUGAUCCAGGUAUAUACUGCGGUAUAUGAAAUGCCACAACCCAGCAGGACCCCCAAUGCCAUGAUGAGGGUCUUUAAAUCUUUCAGGAGAAUCUGAUGGAUGCAUGUGCUGACCCAAAUGAGCUGCUCCAGACUGAGGUAUUGGUGGUAGAUCUUCAACAUGCAUUCCUCCGUCUAGCAAGGAUCUCUGAACUUCACUGAGGACAUUGGACUUCAAAAGGACCGUUUCAAUACAAAUCCUACAAAUUUCCAUAGAAAGAUAGUUGCUAAACAGAGACAUGUGAUCGCUUUGUAAAGUUAAGGUUUGCACCACCACCAACAAUAGUAAGAUUGGAUUAUAACUCGUCAUUUACCGGCAAUCCUUAAGAUGAUAAAAUGCAUCUGAAUUAGUGGUUAGCAACAUCAAGUAUGUGUCCGCCUGCCACAUAUAUACAAAGCACUGUCACUUCUUUCCUAAUGUUAAGAAAAAUAAAAACAUUGGCCAGUGCACAUGUAUUAAAAUCUAACUCACAUCAAAAUAGUGGAUAUAUGCAUACAAAAAUGCUGAAGGAUUGUAUCUUGGCAAGCAAACUGGAGAAAAUGAUUCCGACGUCCUGCACAAUUAUUGCCCAUUGAAAUAGAAUAAGGACGUGCAGAAAGAAUGCUUAAUAAGAAAUCCAUAUACUAUAGCCAAGAAUUAAGCUCCUUUAAUGUAUGAAUGUUCAAUAAGUAAUAGCAACAGUAAAUACGCUAGACCGAAUAUUUAAAAUGUUAAAGCUAAAUGAGAAUAAAGCUGUAAAUAGAGUUGCUCAUUUUAACCAGAUAAAUGGUUUAACCACAACCAGGUUCGGAUCCAGAUCCGGUUAAGCAAAACUGGAUAAAUUGAUUUGGAUUUUUUUUACUCGCCUAUAUAAAUUGAUAUUGGUGGAUAACCAUAUCCAAUUAGUUGGAUACCCAUAAUCAAAGGCAAAACCAAAUUCUGCUUUGGUCUCUCUCAGUCUCACUAUCUCACAUCUCCAACCAAAUUCUGUUUUGCUUCUCGCUUAAUUCCCACCUAUUGACUCUCUCCCUCAUUGGAUUCCUGUGUUUUGUAUUCUGCUAGUAUGAAGAACUAAUAAUAAUUGCAAUUAUAAUUAUAUCUAAGAGAGGAUUGGCAUCCAGUAAAACAAGAGAAUAGAUCUGCGAUUCGGCUUAAUCAAAUCAAGAAAACCCCACAACCGUCGUUGAUUUUGUCAUCAUUGUCACCGUCAUCAACCUCUGUGAUGGUGCCACCGUUGUCCAUGUCUAACUGCUAAUCCAAUACAACGUUGUCCACGGCGCUUCUCUCCCCAUGCCGGUCUGUCAUGCACAGUCCUCCACAAUUCAUCAUGUUCUUUGCUCAAGGUUCAGAUUCUUCAUUUUUAUUCGCCAAUUAAUUUUCUUUUUUUUUUUUAUUUCAAUUUAUUUUCUGGUUGUUUAGUUUUUGGGAAACGUAAAUUUGGAUAAUGAUUCUUGGUCUGAAAGUUGGAACUAAAAAAGUACCCAAAAAAAAUGUGAAUUUCAUGGUUCAUUUAAUAUCUAAAAUCGGUUAUAUCAUGAAUAAAAAAUUGUUUAUAUCGAGUAAAAGAAAAGAUGGUUACAUUUAUAUAUAAAAAUUUAGUAGAAUCUAAAACUGGUUUAAAAUCUAAAACCGGUAAUUAAACCAAUAACUGGUUUUGUGAAAAUAAAACCGGUUGUAUGUAUUGGUUAUGAUAUCCGGUUAUAUGUUAUAACAAGUGGUUGUGGAUUAGUUAUAUCGACAAUCCAAGCUUGAGCAACCCUAGCUGUAAAGAAUCAACAUGGUCUCCCCAUCUAAAAAACUGAUCACCGUAUAAUGGAAGAUAUCCAAAACAUACUAGUACUUAGUUGUGGAAACUUUAAGCAAAGAUCUACAUGUUAACUUAAAUUACUUUGCAAUAAAAAUAAGAUUCAUAAGAACUGGAGGAUUAAGAUCAUCUCAAUCCUAGAUAGGAAAACUUAAUACAUCAAGUUUUCAUAAAUCAUAGUUGCCAUAAUUACCUCUAAAAGAAAACACUAGAAUGCUUAUAACUUCCAUAACCAAAAUAAACAAUUAACUAAAUCUUUAAGAAACGUGGAGUAAGUUAUACAGUCAAAUUAAACCAUCGGCUAUUGUGAGUGCUAUCUCAAAAAUAUUAUGAAUUUUACUUGCCUGAAGGAUUCUGAUGACAUGACAAAAUUGGCCAGCAGCAACAUAUCAUCUGGAUGAAGGGAAGCUUUCUGAGCGCCAACAAGACUAAUCACCUGCAUUCAACCUUCAAUGUGUUAUUAUUCUAAGUCAAAAGAUAAAUAAAAAGAAAAAAGUUACCAGAGUCAAACCUUGUGCCUGCACAUCAGUGUUGCAAACAGAACACCAGAAUCAGCAAUGUCUUGUAAGACAGCGCCAGCAGCUUGCCUCGUUGCAUAAGAAAGAGGAAGGCAAGUAUAGGCAUGAAGAAAUGUAGCCGGGUUCCUAAAAUAGACACACAAAUAACAAUAUUUACUACCAAGAUAUAAAGAAGAAAGUUGGGAAAUAGGGCAUGCUAAGAGCAGAGAAACAAACCAACUGAAAGAGUGAAUCAAAGAAGAGAAGACGGUGUCUGUUCCACCAAGUAAGGGUGUCAUAUCAAACUUCGAAUUCUUCUCAAAACAUUUGUUUAUUGAUUUUGUUAAUAUAACAAGGAUCUGCACAUAUGUGGACAACAAGGAAAUGUCAUUAGAACGUCCUAAUGAAGCAUUGUCAAUUUGAGAAGUAAUCGAAUUCAGUAAUUUCCACAGUACAACUCAAUUAUACCUGUCCAUAAAUUAGUUCCAACUGCCCCCUUAACGACUCAUAAGGUUCUUCCGUGGAGCUGAUGCAAACCAAGUAAAUUGGUCCUUUCACAAGAAAAACCACCUACACCAUAUUUUCAAACUAUAAUGUUAAUAAUAAUGAAGCAUAUAAAAUCCAAGCAUAAUAAAAACAUCAAUAAAUAAUAAUAAGCAUGUGAUCAGUUGAUCAGACCUGAUGUUUUCCAGCUCUCACCAAUUUGAUAGAGUCACCCCUAACAAAGAGUCCAAUGCAAAAUCAAAUUAAAAUACGUACAUUAGUGUUAUUAUUCAAUUAAUUAACAAGAAACAGAAAGAGAGAUUGUAUUAAUACCCAUUCUCGACAAAAGAAACGAUUGCUUGCAAAGUAGCUGAAAACCCUGCAAGCUUGUGUUCAUCUCCAUACCUACAAGGAAACAAAAAAAAUGCAACAAAAGAAAAUCAAGAAUAAGACCAUGUGACUGUGAACAGUGUUGUUAAAUAACAGCUAUAUUGGCCCUAUACGGCUAUAGCGUAGCAGAUUUCGACAAAUUGCUAUUGUUCUGUGAUACACUACCUAGUGUUAAAGUUUUCAAAUAGCUGCUAUAACACUAUUUCAUAGCGGAAUUUUAAUAAUCCGCUGUUUUUUGCAAUCUAUGAGUGAAUGAACUAACCUAGAAUAUAUAGGUUUGCCAGAAUUGCUAAGAAUAAAGAAAUGCUUCUUCCUUUUUCUCCAUGAUAUAGAACCAUCGUCCUGCACAUAAUACGAUACUUAUAGAUAGAUAUAGUCCAUGAAACAACUAAACAGACACCGAUACCAGUAAUAAUUGACACUUGCGAAAAUGACAUAGUUCAAUGUAAUCACCGAAUACUACUGACACAUGCAUUUGGUGCUACAAAUGGAUGAGACGAUUAUAGUAAUGCAUGCACUACAUAGAGGUGAAUUCAAUGUAAGUACCUCAUCUUGAUGUCGUUUUCCAGGAAUCCAAUCAGUAUUAGAAUCAGUGAUCGAAAUUUCAUCGAUUUGAUUCCGAAUCCUCGAUUGUUCUUCUUCUUCUUCAAUUUCAUCAUCAUGUUCGAUCUCAAUUGCGGAACCGGUGGUGGCACUAGUGCUACCUCCACCUUCUCCGGCGUAACCGCUACUACUAGGGCUUGAAGGGAGAUCCAUUUCUUGCUCGGAACCGGUUCGAACCCAGACAGUAUUUGAACCGGGUUCGGUUGAAGUUCGAAUAUCUAUAUCUCUUUCUUCUGUUACCGGUUCGGUGGAUUGAGAUGAUGAUGACAUAGUGAGGAAGUGAAGUGAGAGAAAUUUUUUGGAGUUUUGAAAUUUGUUUUGUUAGUUUGUUAUUUACGCUGCUGCCAGUCGGUCGUUGAUUGCCGUGGUGAAGUCUGACCGGUUGGUUCGUGCUUGCGUUCAGACAAGGCAACGAUCGUGUCCUCAUGCUUCCGGGCUGGGCUAGUUCAUUGCUUUUCAAGGCCUAAACUGGCCCAACCAAUGCUCAAAUAUUUUUGGCAAUUACUUUUCCCAACGUACUCUCUUCUCGCGCGCCCUCUGACUUAUUCCUUAAAUAUUUCUGUUGUUCGGAUUAUAUAAUUCGAACGAAGAUAAAACAUGCUUUAAAUUAUAUAAUUUGAAAGCGUUGUGUUAUUAGAAUAAUUAUUUGGAUGACAAUUUUUGUGACAAUCAUAAAUUUAUAAGGAAAAUGAAAUAUUGACACAGAAACCAAAGCAAUAGAGAAAGAAAGUAAACACAUAAUGUGAGUAUAAGAAGGAAAGUUGUCAAAAAAAGAUUGUACAAAUAUCAGUUUUUUAUGUUAUAUGUAAGCAACAAUUAGAACUCUUUCCAUUUCAGCAGUUGUGAAUUUUACUUUUAAAGUCAACUAAAAAAUAGUAAAAAAUGAUAAAAUUCGUCAAAUAAAUAAAUACCACCAAAAAGAUUUUAAAAAUCAAAUAAUGCUAAAGUAAUUUUUUUUAGGAUUUUCUUGAGAAUUUGAAUUUUGAGGAGCGGAGUCUGGUAAGAAAAUCCUUUCUAAAGGAGUUUGUUCAAUGAUUUUUUUCCUAAUUUUCUCGGCAAGUUUUGGAGCAAUUAUAUCAAAUAGUCUGAAAAUCGGAUUUUCGACUGGACAUAGCAGAAAUCACUAACAAUGACCUAAAACACAGGGCGGGGGUUACUAUGGUUAGUAAGGUUAUUAAACCGGACAUCCCUGUCACAAACAGGUUCAAGUCUUUGCGCUGAUACAGUUUGAAUUGUAUACAAUAUGUUUUUUCCAUGAAUUCAUGGCACAAGAAAGUGUAUAGGGGCGAAUUUUAUAAUUCGAGUAUCCACAGAUAAUCGAACUUGAGACCUUGAGGAGGAGCACACUUUCAGAUCCUAAACUAAUACCACCAAACCAACCUAAGCGGGUUAAAUCAAUUUUGUUGAUAACGGAACUAAAUUGUUGGAUGGGAUUUUAAUUGGAUAUGCACUAAAUUGACGAGAGAGUGACAGUUUAAGAACUAAAUCGAGGGUUUAUAUUCAUAUUGGUUGGUAGUGCCUUUUUACAAAUUGCAUUUAUCUAAAAUUUGAGGAAAACCUUCUUCGAGUAUAUAUGCUUGUUUUGUGAUACAACCUGUUUUGAAUAUUUGUAUCUGUAGUAAAAAAAAAUGACUUUGUUUUGAAAUACUUUAGCAUUUCACAUAGUCACUUGACUUUGACUUGCUAUUUGUCUCGUAAUGUUAUUCAAAUUUUGGGUGUAAUAGAGUAAACAUCAAGUUGUCACACUCCAUUUAGCUCUAAUUGGUCUUAAUGCUUCAACGAUCUUCGUGAACUUAUUUGGAUUUGAGAAAGACUUAAUUGUUUUUUAUUGAUCGUUUUUUGUUUGACUAACCUUCAUUCGAUUGAUUGUUGUUCUCGAUUAACAAAUUGAGUAGCUGAGAAAUGUUAAGAACACUCUAUUUUUAGUUAUCUCUAAUACCCACUCUUUUAUUGGGUGAAAUUCAUGUGAGUCUCACCACUUUAUGUGAGAGUUUAAUUCAUUUCUAAUAUGUGAUACUCACAUGUAUUUCAUCCAAUAAAAAAUUAUUGUUAGAGAUAAUGUUAAAAAGAGAAUGUACAUAACACUCUUCUUAAUUAGAUAUAUGUAUAAAAUAAAAUCCUCUUUAAAGAAAAAUAUAUGUAUAAAAUCCUUUUAUACUACUUUCGAUAGAUUCAAGUUAAACUAAUAUCACUUGUAAUUCAAAAAUCACUAUCUAUAACUAUUGUUUUAAGAUCAGUAUUAGCAACACUCUCUUUUUGACACUCUCUCUAACACUCAUUCUCUCAUCGAAUUAAAUCGAUAUGGGUCAUACAUUUUGGAAAUAAAAUCCACAUAAAGUGGUAGGACAUACAUUGAUUUUAUCCAAUAAAAGAGUGAAUGUUAGAGAGAGUGUCCAAAAGAGAAUUUAUUAGCAUUUCUUUUGUUUUAAUAAAUAAACACUAAUAUCUAACCUUUUUUUUUUAAGGAAAACACUAAUAUCUAACUAUUAUCAUCCACUAUGUCGAUGAUUGGAUAUUUUUAGGCUAUUUGUGGUAGAGGAUGACCUGCCAUGUGGCCAUUUUAUUAACUCCCAAGACCUAACCUGCCAAAAAUCACAUCGAAACCCCACCCACCAUGCGAUAUGCACCAAUUUAUUGAGCAACCAAGACUAUUUUCAAUUUCUGCUCUUACAAUGACCCUACUCCCUUUCCUUCCUCAAAUCUCCAACAAUCGUUUUGAUUUUUUAUGUUUUGCUAACAAUGACUAUACAGUUUUUUUAAAAAAUUAAUAUUUAUAUAACCAUCUCUUAACAAUUUUUAUGGUAAACUUAUCACUUAUACUUAUAUUAUGUUUUUAUUUAUUUUUUAUUAUUUUGAUUUUUGUAUCAAUACAUCUUUUUCUUUAUAAAAUCUUGAUUAUCUAAAAAAUUAUCAUAUAAAUAAUUGUUUAAAUAACACAACUCUAAUUUUUAAUAUAAAAGUUGUAUUAUUUCGUAUAUUUAAACAACAAUUUAAAGACAUUUAUUAGCAUUUUCUUUUCUUCUUUUCAUCAAAAGAGACACACUUCAAUAAUUGAGCAUAACCUCAUCAUAGGUAUCGUCUCAUCACUCUCUCUAUCAAAAUAAAUACUGACUCGAUGUUGGGUUUGUUUAUUCUUUAUUAUUUGUCGUUUUCAAUUUGUUUAGAUUUUAUCAUCAUUUUCUAAUUUUGUACAAUGAUGUAUUUAGUAGGGGUUGGAAAAACGACGAAAAUUUAUAAUACAGAGAAACUAGCACUUAUAGUUUUUUUUUUACUGAUAGUUACAGUUUUUUAUUUCUAAAAUAAAAUUAAAAUUAUAUAAUUUUGUUUUUUUAGUGAGAAUUAUGGAUAGUGGUAGUGUGAUUUAUUUGUUUUUAUUGGUCCUCUCGUACUAAGCAAUAUUUUUUUUUUUUAAUCUAUAUCAAAUGUGGUCAAAUGUGCAUUCACAAGUUACUGUGAGACGGGUGAGGGUUCUAUCAAUUAUUAUUUUGUAAAAAAACUCAAAAUUAUGCAUCAUUAUCAUUAUUACUUUGAGUAAAAAAUUAAAAUAUGAUAAAUAUAUAAUUAAAGAUAUUACUUGUGAGAGUUAGAUUGCUCAAUGUUUUGAGAAUUCGAAACAUUAUAUAAGCAAAAGACAAAAAAAAAAAUUGAAGAAGUAAACGACUAAAUAAAUUCAUGAAAAGUAGCAAAAAUUUAUUAAUUUUCUUAAUAUAUAAAUAACUUUAGAAUUUAGACUAUUAGAUUAAUGAAAGCAAUAAAGACUUCAAAAAAUAAAAACAUUAAUGUUGAUGAAAAAAUCCUUAAUUCUUCAUGAGGAUAUGGACAUCAAUACAAACACCAGGUUUCAAAUCAAUAUCCGCAACCUCAUACAUGUUAAUCAUCUCAAUCUCAAUACAAACGUAAAUAAUAGAUUUCACUUAUUUUUUGAGUAAAUGAUAGAUAUAUUUCACUUAUAGUAAACACAUACUAUAUAUUAUACGAACGUAAUGUGCUCACCCACCAAAAAUAAAAGCAAAAAAACACAGAAAAAUGGUAAAAUUAUUGGAACCCAGUUUUUGCCCAUAUUGCAUUUCUAAGCCUGCUAAGAUCUCUUCCCUUGAGAGUCCUUCCAACACCUUCGUGUACAGAGAAAGAAGCCACUCUUGUCCUCGCCAAAAAUUCAUGUGGUGGUAACCACUCAUCGUCGUCUUCAUCCUCUUCUUCCACGUAAUUUCUCUUGGUAUAGUUAUUUUUGUACUCAUCCCCGAGGAUCUUAGACCAGUCGGGGAUCUUUACUGGCAUGGACGCUGGAGCUACUCCAGCGUCCAUUUGCUUCUGCUUCGGUGAAGAUGGUUUCUUGGCCAAGCGAGAGCCAUGAAUAGAUUUGCGAAACUCUAUGGAGUUAGCAUGAUUGGAAUUGUAAAUGUCUGAUUCUUCAAAUUCAAACAUGGUAUCUGAAUCCGUUAGAGAAGAGUCUCUAUCACCAGAAAGAAAGAGGUGGUUUCUUCUUGCAAAGUAACCCUUAUUGUUUGCCAUGUUGGUUUUGGAAGUUAAAAUACAAUGUUUUUUUAUCACUAAUAUAUAUAGUAUAUGUGUGUGUUUAGUUGCAUAUGAUCAAUGGUUUAUUUUUUCUUUCUCCUACGUUGUUAAUGGUGGUUCCACAAUGACAUGCCUUUGUCAUGCUUUUAUAAAGAGCUUCAUAUGAAGCUUUUCUUUAUUCUUGUUGUUAAAAAAAGAAGAAAAAAUAAUAAUAUUGGGUGGCAUUGUGGAUAAGGUUCAAUAUUCUUUCUCUGUCCUUUCUUUCUUUCAUUUCGUCAGUUUGUGUAUGUGAAUGCCAAAUCACCCACCAAUUUUAUAAGAAAAUAAGAAAAUCCAAUUCUGGCUUCAUUCACCAAUUUUACGGUUCAUCCAUUAUUGAAUCUUUUUCGGAAAGUUAGUGUAAUAUUUAAGACCACGUACUUUCAUUGGAUUUUAACUAUAAACUAUUUACUUCCCUAAAAAAAAACUAUAAACUAUUUACUUUUUUUUAACAGUCUCGUUUGAUGCUUUUUUUUUUUUUUUUUGAGGGAAUGUCUCGUUUGAUGCUAGAUAUAAGUUCGGGAGAUUGUAUAUAAUAGGUUUAAUUGCAUUUUCGUGUUCAAAUUUAACAAUAUUUUGGCCACUAAGUUUUUUUGGUUUGAUGUAUUGGCCGCUAAGUUUAAGUAUGUGUUUAGUUAUGUGGUUAAAAUUGAUUUUUGUAAAAUUAAUUUCGAUUAAAAGUGAGUUAAAAUAAGAGAUUUAUGUUUGGAUAUCUUUACAAUAAAAAUGAUUUGUAUGAAAAUAUUAUUUGGAUACUUUGUAUCAAAAUUGAUUUUAGGUGUAUAAAUGACCAUAACUUGUUUUAACAUGUGUGCAAUUGAUCUCGGAGUAUGCUCCUCUUAAAGAGUCAAGUUACAUUCUCUCGAGCGAGAAUUUUGGUUGCUUAAUUUGACUUCUUGAACAAAGCAUGUGUGAAGCUACAAUUUCCAACUUCACAAAGAAUUGAUUAUGAACAAGAAAGGGUUAAUAGGUCUUUACCCCCUGUAAUAUAGGUCAUUUUCGGUUUUCCCCCUGUAAAAUUUUUAUUUUGAUUCACCCCAUGUAAAAUAUUUUGGUUUUAAUUUACCCCCCCUAAUAGGCUAAACAAAAACCAAUUUUAUUUUAUUUUUCAAGAAAUUUUCGUUUUUGUUUGGCCUAUUAGGGGGUAAAUCAAAACCAAAAUAUUUUACAGGGGGUGAAUCAAAAUAAAAAUUUUAUAGGGGGAAAAACCAGAAAUGACCUAUAUUACAGGGAGGUAAAGACCUAUUAACCCAACAAGAAAUGUAUGAUCGUGAUGGUGAGGUGAAUGACAACAAAACAUGACAAAAUUGUGUUUGAGCAGUUGGAUCGUGUGUUCAAUCGUGUCUUCAAUGUUUAUCAACACGUAACCUAUAAUAUAGACUAAAAUGAGUGAUUUUGACCCUCAAUUUUACCUUGUUUUACACUUACUAGUCUUUCAUGCAUGUUUUGACCAAUUUUGACUAAAAAUCAAUCACCUAUGUAGCUAAUUUUAAUUACGUGACAAUAAGACCCAUGUGUUUUUAGAGAGAAGGAGGACCUUCUCUCUCUGAACUUAACAUGCUUUCGUUCACCCAAACUAGGGUUUCACCUUGGUUCAGCGGCGGCAAAUCAACCCAUAUCUUCGUGAUCUGCCUUUCCCGACCAUAUGGGUCGCCGCACCUAGGUGUUCCUAGUCCCUCCCCUCUACUUUCAAGGCCGGUUUGCUCAAUAACCACCUCACUGCCAUCAUGCCUCAGCCGUAUACCAUCACAUACCACCAUGACCCUUCCACCAAAAUCAUCCACGACCUCCAUCUUUCCUGCUUGAGACAACCACAACAAAAGUCCAGAUCUGUUGGUGGUGUCGACCCCAAGACGUGAUCUUCUCCUGACUACACGACCUCCACCCGAGCCACCGCCACCGAACUAUGAGAAGCUUGACAUAAUUGAUGAAUCCAUUGCUGUUGCUACACCUUCUUUCUUGGUACUCAUUCCACCAAUUCCAAAGCCACCAUGGAGUGUCCAUGGUUUGUUGUCCUUGGGCCCUUCAGAUAUGGCUUCUGCUGUUUGUUUAUUUUAUAGUUUAUGUCUUUGUUUUGUCUGGUUUAAGGCUGCACUCUUGUUGUUUGACAAAAAGCCCCAAAAGAGUUAUGUCUUUUGGAACAAAGUAGCCAGUGUAUGUUGGCAAUCCAUAGUGACUAGGGAAACUUACGAGGCUGACUUCCAUUGCAACAACCUCUUUAAUCAUCCACCAACCAUCAAACAUCUGGAAAAUUUGGACAAUGUUGAGACCAAUGAUAGUCGAAAUAUGCGAACACAAGUCAAAGAUAUUAUCCGUAACUGGAUUGGAAAAAAGACUUUGGAUUCUCAUUCUUAUAUUGCUAGGUUUCGGGUUUGUAAGAGGUUGUAUGAACUAAUGCUAGUUUGUUGUUCUUGGUUUGGUUAUGUCCUUUUGACUUUUGAAGGAUCUAUGUGUAUGAUUAACUAUGUUUGUGUUAGUUUUUCUCUCAACUUUGAUUUUCGACAAUGGAUGGGGAAUGCCCCAAUUCAAGUGUCUCAAUCUUUUUGUAAUGCUUGUUGCUUUAUCUAUUGAAUGAAGUUGUUUCACUGUCAAUUUUUUUUUUUACGUGACAUCUCUCUGUAUUUGUCAACAUGAAAAUUGAAGAAAAAAAUAAAGAAGAAUAAGAAGAUAUCUCAUGACUACUUCAUUCAAUCCUCUUUCUUCCUCCUCCACCUUAACAUUAAACAUUCGUUCAUUCUCACUCUCACACUCUAAUAUUUACUUUUUUUUCUUUUGAAAAGGCCAAAAGAUACCGAUAUAUUAAGAAACUGAAACAAGCCAUCGCAAAAGGUGUAUUGAAGAGAGCUUGACCAAAAACAAAGUACUACACAAUAUGAGAAAAAUAUGAUAAACAAGCAAACGAAGCUAAAUAACUGUAGUUAAACAGAAAAUAAGAUUUAGCCUCCAUAAUUGAGUAAACCAUCAAUUUGGUCCAUUUCUUUGUAAGUGAUACAAAAAUUAGUCUACGACUAUAUUAAUAUUUCAAAAUAGUCACUCUCUUUAUCAAAAGUUUUUCAAUUAAGUCCCUCAUCAUGUGAAAGAAACAUGGAAACAUGAGUUUAAUUGAGAAACUUUUGACAAUAUUUCAAAAUAGUUUAUGUUUUUAUCAAAUUUACAAAUUGACCCCUGAUUUCAAUUUUCAAAUAUGGUCCAAAAAAAUUUAAAUUUAUAAAAGUUGCCAAAAAUUAUGACAAUGAAAUUUUUUAUUACUACAUCCAAACAAAAGUAUUAAGAAAUGAAAGUAUUUUAAUGGAAUCAUUUGAAUUGUCUAGAAUUCUAAAUUCUUUAAAAUUUCACAAUUACCUCAUCCAAACACACUCUUAUUUGUUCAACAAGGGAAGAGAUUUGAAUCUGGAGCCCAAUUUGUUCUCGAUUUCAGGCCCAACUCUCCUCCAAUUUAGCCUCCCAAAAAUAAUAUUAUUCUUUUAAAAUUACAACAAGGUCUCCGAAUUGUUUACGACAACCCUAUGUGUCAGGUUACAUAUUAUGUUGCCAUGCCUAACAAUCCUUAUGGUUUGUGUCCGAUUUCCUUAUUUUAAGCAAAAGAUCCAUUAACAUUUUAAUGUUUUUUUUUUUCAACAUUCUUAGUUUCUUACGCACGUGAUGAAAUACAAAUUAUAUAAUCUGAAAAUCCUAAAUACACGCUAAAAUCACCCUAUAACUUUUCGGAUUUUAUAAUCCGAAGCAGACGCAGAGGGUGGGAAAAGAAACUCCCUAACCAUCUUUUACCUACCAAAACACAAAAUAUUUCGUUUGCGUAAAAUGAACUAAAAGCCCAAUAACGAUAAGGCUAAAACAGUCCUUACCCCAAAACCCUACAUAUAAAUCCAUCUCACAAACCAUUUCUCACACUCUUCUCAGUAGCUGCUGCGGCUUCUUCUCCUCAUUUCAUCUCCUCUACGAAACCCUAAUCUCACCCAAACCCUCCAAAAUGCCGCCAAAGCUCGAUCCAUCCCAAAUCGUCGAAGUUUACGUCCGCGUCACCGGCGGUGAAGUCGGAGCCGCCAGUUCCCUCGCUCCCAAGAUCGGUCCUCUCGGUCUCUCACCAAAGAAGAUCGGAGAAGACAUCGCCAAAGAAACCGCAAAGGAUUGGAAGGGUCUGAGGGUGACAGUCAAGCUCACCGUUCAGAAUCGUCAGGCUAAGGUCGCUGUUGUUCCGUCUGCGGCUGCGCUGGUUAUCAAGGCUUUGAAGGAACCAGAAAGGGAUCGCAAGAAGACUAAGAACAUCAAGCAUAAUGGGAAUAUCUCUCUUGAUGAUGUUAUUGAGAUUGCAAAGAUUAUGAAGCCGAGGUCGAUGGCGAAAGAGCUUGCCGGAACUGUGAAGGAGAUUUUGGGGACCUGUGUUUCUGUUGGGUGUACUGUUGAUGGGAAAGAUCCAAAGGAUUUGCAGCAGGAGAUUAAUGAUGGUGAUGUUGAGAUUCCUCAGGAUUGAGGUGGUUGUUGAUUUUUUCACUAUUAUCGUUAAUGUGUUUUUUUAAUAUAAGUUUGAGAAUUUUGUUGUUGAAUUUUACUGUUUUGGAUAAUUUAGACCAUUUUGACGAAUUUUAUCAGUUUAGUUUAAUUAUGUCUAUGGUGUUUCGAUAUAAUUUUGGCAAUGAAUUUUAAUCGUUAUGCCUAUAUUAUUAUGGCCACUCUGUUUAAUGGUGUUUCCAUAUAAUUUCGGCAAUGGAAUUUUGCUAUGGGUAUUCUCUGUUUAAUGCGUGGUUGCUUGAAUUUUGCUGUAAUUUCAUAUUUAAUGUUCUGUGUCUCAGAUUAAUCCAGAUAGUUAUUUAUGAAAAUUACCCUUUUUGUGGGGCGUUGUUGUUUGUGUAGUUCUUGUGUUUUUGUUAUCGGGUGAUUUGUUUGAUAAUAUGUUUGUGCAGUUCUCAGUGUUGUUAUUCUGGAGAUUGUGUCGUGAUUGUAAGUAUGCAUUGAGUUAGGUUUAAAGGUCCUAUUGCUUAUGGAGUUAAAGUUUGAAUUUGAAUUAAAUUGAAUAGACUAUACCAAUGAAUAAUCAAUUCUAGGAAAGUCUCCCUUGACACAAUUGGUUGACACAAUUAGUUGAGUGUGGCCUUGUUUUAUAAUUGUCAUCACUAUUAAGUGUUAGCUGCUGUACUGCAUUCUCUUAUAAGUUACUGCUGUAAUUGUUUGCAAGAUGUGAAUAUGUCGGUUGGCUCCUAAACUGUUGAUUCUAUACAUAUUCCUGUGUUAUUGGUUGUCUAGAUUUCAUGUUUUGUUUAUCCUGUUCUUGUUAGACAUUUUAUGCAGGGAUUGAGUUUGAGUUUUUAUGCUUUGUCUAUUGUGGUUCUUUGUUAGAAACAUGUAAGGAGGGAUAGAGUUUAAGUUUUUAGGACACACUGCCAAUGUCAUCCUCUUUAGAAUCAAUGCCAUUAUCUCUGGAAUUAACUAUUCUUGGAUUUGUUAUUGAGAAAUUGAUUUUGUAAUUAAUUAUACAGAUGCAUACUGAUUAACAAUCAGUUUCAAAAAAGUUUUUCUUUGAUGUGUCAAUCAUGUCUCAUUGUUAUCAUCCAAGUGCUAGGUUGUUGGAUGGUUUUAAUUUGUGAUUGUGCAAUUUUUUGAACAUUGUUGUUUCUGUCUAUUUUUAGAAGUUUCUGUUAUCCAUAUUGAAACUACUCUUUUUGCUAAUAGUAACAAUGAUGGGUGUUUUCUGUUUCCUCAUCAACUUAUAUAAUGCUAUUAAUUGUUUGCUACUAGCUAGAUGUGUCAAUUUAUUUGGUUACUGAUUGAUAGAUAAAGUAAGUGAUUAUCCUCAAUUUUAUCUUCAUCUACGUGGUUUAGUAAGUUCAGUUUUGUUAUUUUAGUGUCAAAGUAGUUUGCAUUCUGUAUUGUCGUGAAUAUGCCUGGACUGGAUUGAUACCUCCAUAAACUUGUACAUAUCUUUUGUUCAUUGUCCUAGUAUCUCAGCCUACUCCCCUACUAGGCCAUCUCUCCUACUAUAUAUCUGCCAUCUCUCAUUCUUGGCAUAUAACAUCCCAUGCUCAUGAUAUCAUUUCUAACUUCUUGUAACUCCUUAUGACAACCUCUUUUAUUUGAAGUACCCGUCUCAUUCACAGGAAAAGGAUCGAUGGUUAAGAUAACACAUUGAGGCAGACCUUUAGUCUCUAAUGCAUAUAAAUGCUAUAUGCAGAAACACAUUCAUAAUUAUUCUGUUUUUUUUUUUGUGUGCGAAUGAAAUGCGAUUAAUUUGACUUUCUAAACCAAUGUUUCAGUCUAGUAGAUUGAUUUUGUCUAUUACAGCACUGUUUGGUUUACACUUUCCUCGAUGUUUUAGAUUAUUUGUCUUGAUGUCAACCCUCCUUUUCCUAGCGGAAAAUAUUCCUGAGUAAUUUGGAGUGCGGCUACAAGAUAAUUAUAGUAUGUCCAAUAAUUUUUUCACUCCAAAUUUGAACUUGGGUACUUGAGUCAAAUCAUUUGGUUGGAUGUGUUGGUAUUUGAAAUAGUUUAUUUUGAAGCAUGCAAAAUUUGAUUGAACUUUGUUCCAUUCAAAAGAUAAAGAUUUGUUAAAGAACCUAGAUUAUGAGUUCGGGUAUGCUCUAUUUAGGCUAAGCUUCAUUUAGGGUUUGGAUGCAAGACAUGACAAAACAGUAUCUAACAGUUGAGAUUUUAAAUUAAAAAAUAAAUAUUUGUUUAAUAAAUACAUAAUAAUAACAAACAUAUUAGGUUCCCUUCUUCUCUCAUAUCGCAACAACCUUUUUUAAUUUAAAAUCUCAAUUGUUAGAUGUUUUUUUGCCACAUGUAAUGCAUCCAAACUCUAAAUGGAGUAAAUGGAGCUUAGCCUAAAUGGGAUAUAUCCGAACUCAGAUUAAACAUAUCAUCGUUCCAUUACGUUGAUUUUUUACCCUAAUGUUCAAGCUGUACCAUAUAACCAUCUGCAAAAUGCCCUCUACACCUUUCUGGUAACAAUAACACAUCUUCCGUGAUUAAAUUUGUCCAUCCAGCCACGUUUUAGAGAAUGUUCAUAACACCCUGAUUGUAAGCAUCUGAUGCUAACUGCCUAUUACUGCACCACAUUUUUAUAAAUCAUGUGGUAACCUUAUACCUCUUCACAUACAUCAUUUUGCACAAAAUUUGCAAUCCUCAACAUUAUGCAUGUGCAGUGAACCUUGUACCAUCCAAUCUCCUCCAUAACUACUCAUCACAAGUCACAACACUCAUUGCAGAUGUUGAUUGUGAUUUUCUGUCUACCGAACAGGCCUCCACAUUUCACGCAAACACUCCAUCGGUUGACACUCCAAUGAUCACAAAGUAUAGUUAAAUCCGUUAAUCAGCUCCACACGAAUAAAUUAAAUUUAUCAUAUAUUAACUCUUGCCAUGCCUGGAGUUUAAAAUCGCAGCAUCCAUCUCUUAAAGGAACAUAUUAAUUAUUGAUCAAUCUAUAAUUUAUAAUUAUACUUGCAAAACAACUGUUUUUUUUGGUAGAACAAAACAACUGUCAUCAACCAAUUAAAUUACUUCUGUAAAAAGAAAACACAAUUAAAGUAGGUUUCAAUCAAUCUAAUCUGUCUUGUACAAUUUACAUAUCUUUGCACCCAAGAAUGUUAACGCAUACCCUCAGCCUCGGUAUAUCCAAUAAGUCUAACGUUAUCUAACAAUCUAUUCAUAAUCUAUUCAUGUCUCUGGGAAUUGUUAUAAUGUGUAGUAUUUUAUUGUCCAAUGUUGAUAAGUGAAACAAUACCAUUGUGCAAGUGCGCCAUUAAUCUCUCGUCAAUUUAUCAUAUUGAUUUCUUGCAUUCUAAGUUGCUAGUCAUAUUUUGAUUUGUCCAAAGAAACUAAGUGGGAUAAUCAGUGCUCCAUGAAUCUACAUUUUCAACCGACUAUUUUUUUUUAAGAAAACUUUUAUUGUAUUUUAAAUUAAUUGUGUACUUUGAAUUGAUUAUACUUAUAAUUAUAGUGUUUUUUUUUUGUUGUUGUGCGGAUUAUAAUUAUAGUGCUUAUACAAGAUAUAGUGGGUGUUUGAAAUAUAAGCAUUUUGUAACUUCGGUAGUGUGGUGAAUCAAAUUUAAACUAGGCAUCCUUACUAAUUAGGGAUAUUAUUAGAACUUAUUCCACCAUAUUAAAUAAUUAUCCAAAUUGUGUGGUGUAAGUUUGGUUAGGAGACAAACAAACACAAUUGUUCAUUGUUUUGCAAGAGCAACAUUAUCCAUGCCUAGUCUCCAAAUUUUCUUUUUAAUCUUAUUCUACUUUGUAAUAUUGAGAUUCCUAUUUGGAUGAAAUGACUUGAUUUCCUAUUGUAAAAAAAAAAAAAAAAGAGACUAUAAAAAUAUAUAGCUAUCAUAACAAAAGAGUAUUUAAAAGAGAUAGAAAAGGAAACAAAGCAAAGAAAAGAGGCAAACUAACUUCUAACAAGAGACACUCCUAUGACAUACACAAGCAACAUCUCAAUCUUGAAAAACACACUCUCAAUCUUGAUGCAACAGCAUCUUAAUAGCAGCAAUCAAAGUACCAUAGUCCAUACAUUUGAAUCAAAGGACCAUAUUUGAAUAGCAUGAAGAAAAUCUGUAUAACAAACCACACUCCUCUAAAGUCUAACCUAGAUUCCAAAAUCCAACAUAACCAAAUACCCUAAUAUAAGGUUAUAGUGUAUGCAUAGACGAUACAAAGGUCAUCAAUGCUGCCAUCAAUAUCAAAUUAAAAACUCAACCUCAAAGUUUAAUUUUGAUUCUAAAAGGACCGUAUUUGAAUAUAUAAACUCAAAUUCAGAUAAUUUAUUUUUCUUUGAAUGAGCACUAUCUAUCACCGCUAAAGUGCAAAGUGAAGAUCAUGAAGUUGUACUAUUCAAUAUAAAAUCAAGGCAGCCACCGUCCAGUGAAACAGUCACUCUCAUAUUACACCGGCUAAAACAAAAAUAAUUAUAUAUCAUCACUUUAAUUAUUAGUAUAUGAUUAAAACGUGGUGCACUCUCAGCCAUAACAUCAUACUUUGUGUUCCAAAAAUGAAGUCCAAAUUUUUAUGACGAUCACAAAUCUGUCAUUAUACUCAUUAUAGAACAUAGAAUAAUUUUUAUAGACAUUAUAACUUCAUGCUGAGAUCUUGAUGCUUAUGGAAGUGAUGGAAAUUCCUCCAUUCAUUUAAAUUUUACCCUCACUUUCUAUUAACAAACAUAGAAUAAAUAUUAUUAUUUGCCAAUCCAUGUUAAGAGAGUUGUUGGAAAAUUAAGGCCAUUUCGUAUUUUAAAUUUCUAAUCAAGCUACUGACCUGUAAAGAGGACCAACUAUUUUGGUCUCAUACAAUUAGUCACCCUGGCAUAUGCAUCACUAUACAUAUAUAUAAUUAAUCGUGAUGAAUAGAGGUUUCUCAUAAUUAUUGGCCAUUCUAAUUGAUUUGGGCCAGCCUUGUCACUCUAGCUAUUUUUUAUUUUUUUUACAAGUACUAGCAAGUCACAUUCUAAUACUUUACGUUUAGUAUAUAUUUAUUUAUUGGAUAAAAAUUACGUGAAUUUCAUCAUAUUAUAAAUUAUAAAACAGUUGUACAAAUAUUAUUAUUUUUUAAUAGACUUAAAAUUAACUUUUUGUCCCUAUAGAAAAUAGGUGUUGCUCUACCUAUAGGAUAAAAUCACAUAGACAACAAAACUAAAGAAUUUUAGCAAGACUGAAAUUUAAGACUCGAAAUCACUUGUUAUACUAAAAAAAAACACGUAACAUCCAAUCAAAACACCCUUAGGUGGAAUUAUUUAAAAGGAAAAGUAAGAUCCAGAACUUCUUUAUAGAGUGGGAUGACUUUUCUAACAGCUUAUUAGAUAAGACAAAGAUGUUGGACAUUCUUUUUGUUUAAAUGUUUCUAGUUUAUUUGUUUGUAUUUCUGAUUUUCUUUGAUACAAUGAUUUGUUUAUAUUUCGUGGCUGGUGUGAGUCGAAGUGUAAAUAAAUAGUGUAGAAAAUAACAUUUUCUAUCAAAUGUGAUUAUGUGAUACCAAUUACCAACACCAUUAGACAAGCUCUUGCAGAAAAAAAAACACCAUUAGAUAAACCAUCAUACUUGAUACUAGAGUUGAGUUAUGAGGAGAGUCCGAAGAUUAUCAAAUUGGGUCAAAAAUAACUAUAUAUAGAGAAUUUGACGCGACAUCUUCAUCUGAAACUCUUAAAUAUUAUCUACAUAGAUCAUGUCAUUUACAUGCUUAACAACGUUAUUUUUAUGUUUUUCCUAAAAGAAAAACGUUAAUUUUUUUUAAUUGAAUAUGAGACUUCUAAUUCAUAUUUCCACACCAACAUCUAUUACAUCUAUGUCCCUUUUAAAAAGAAAAAUCUAUUACAUAUAUCACAUAAACACUUACUACUAUAAAAAAAUUGCUUAAUUAAAUUAUUUAUGAGGGCCAUAGUUGAUUAGAAUGAGUGGUGAAGGAUAAACCAAUUUGAACCCGCAGUGUGUCCAAAAUCCAUUUGAUUUUAGGUGCGUCCAGAUAAGUUGUUCUGGCACAGCUUCGUCAUCCAACGAAGACAAACUAUUCUAAUAAACUUAAUCAUAAUUGUAGUAUUGAAAAUCAUUGUGAUAACUUUAUUUUUUAGGAUAAUAUAUCUUAAUCUCUUGUUAUUUUAUCAUGGGAAUAUUUAUUAGCCACUAACUUUGGUGUUUAGUGUUUCAAUUCAGACUCCACACAUAAAUAAAUAAAAACAAAAAGAGAAGUGUUUCACUUCAAACCGAAGUACAACCACCAGGGUUCAAACAUAUUUUACUUGUAUACUUCAGUUAAAUGUUUACUUGUAACACGACAUACUUCAGUUAAAUGUUAAUCAAUUCCAACAGCUCUAGAGAAUUCCAAUUUGUUCACGUAAAGUAAUUACAUCUUAUAUAUGUCCAUUAGUAGUAAUAUCUUGAAUUUCUAUGACAAAUAUUUUACUUAUGAAUUCCUUAACCAAUAUUUUGGAACACUGGUUAACAAAACCCUAAUUUUAAAUAUAAUAUUAUACUCCCUCGGGUCAUUAUUAUAAGAAAAAAAUAUUUUUUUAAGUUUAUUGAAUGAGUGAUGAAUGUGGUCAUUAAUAUAACCACAUACAUCAUUUAUUCGAUAAACCUAAAAAUAGUUUUUUUGCUUAUAAUAGUGUCCGGAGGAAGUAUAAUCAAAAAUAUAUCCAUAUAAAAUAUUUAUUUAGUGUUGUAUUAGAAAGUUCUCCUCUAUUGUUAGUAGCACCUGACCACCUGUUACUAAUGGGAAUAGUUAAAACAGUUUUUUGUCAAAAAAAAAAUACGACAAAUUUUUAUUGCAAUUUAUAUUUUAACAUCAUUAAUCCAUGGUUAAAAAGUACAUAUUUCACCGUUUGAAAUGAAACCACUUAAUUACCACGGGGCGGGAGGAGUAGUUUCAGAGGUCUAUCUUUUCAUAGACAAGCUGGGGUAGCCUGGUUAUCCCAAAAAAUAUAUUAUUCUUCAAAUAGUUGUUAUAAAUUUAUAUUCAACUACCCUAAAUAAUAAAUAUUGAGCCACCAUAAAUAAAUUCAGUUGCCGAAAAUUAACAUAAAUAAGAAAUUUAAAAUAUUACUACAUGAUUGAUUAAUUUAUUUAUAUUGGUUUGAUACUUCCGGUCUCAAUAGCAAUUAUAGAGAAAACUUUUUAAACGGUAAAAAUUAUUAAGACUAUAGUCAUAAACAAAUAAAAUGGACAAUGAGUUUUUUUUGCAAAUAACCUAUUUAUUUACUUGGAAAAGACAUUAUUAAUCUAGUUAGUAAACAAUCAAUUAUGGACAAAAUUGACUUCUUAAAAUGCAUUUUACCCAACUUUUCUAAAUACCUACGGUAAAUUUUUAUCCUUUGUUGUUGCUUUAAUUUACAUUUCAUAUAAGUAAAAACUAUUGUGAUUUUUUUAUGUAUUGGUUAAUUUUCGGAUUAAAUUUGUUUGUAGUCUCUACAACACUUACGAUUUUUAACUUAAGUUUCUAAAUUUUUGUUUGAUUUUAGUAACAAUAUUUUUCUAGAGAUUAAAUACAAGAAUUAAACACCUUUUUCUUUUUGUAAAAUUUAAAAAAUCUAGACAAAAAUUGAAUAAAUUUUAUGUAAGGACUAAACUAAAAAAAUUAUAAUCUAUAAGAUUAAAAACAUAUUUUUUUCCCUUAAAUUUAAUAUAUUGGCUUUAAAAAUAUUUUAUUGUUUCUUUAUAAUUGGCCCCUUUUCAAGUCCGUUCCUAUGAAAUAUGAGGCUCGACUCUCUUUUUAAAAUAGGCUCCAGUAAAAUAGAAAUGCAAUUUUUCUGUGCAGCUAAACUUUAUUAAAAAUUAGAAUCAGAAGAACUUCUAAACAUGAAAUGAAAUAAAAUAAAAUAAAUUUAAAGAGAGGUGAAAUUUACCUAACAAUGUCGUUUGGAUUGUCACUCAUUCGUCGUGGGAAAGGGGAAACAAAUGGUUUAUGCGAAAAAGAAAUGAUUGUUGUGAUUCUUUCAAUGAAAUAACUUUUCAAAUUGACUGAUUAAGUGAUUAUACACAUUGAAGGUGGUUUGAUGGCAUCAAAUUUAUGUUCAGAAAGGAGAACUAGAGUCUAGAAAAAACUCAAACAUGUACUGAUGAAAGAAAAAGAAGUAACAUAUAUAUAUAUAUUUUUUAAUUUAAGUGGGGGUGGGUAUUAGACUGACCUUUUUUUAAGGCCCAUAGUUUUUAGAGAUCUGGCUUGAUUGAACACAUUGCACUCCCCCAAGACGAGCCUGGCCCCUGCAUAAUUUUUUUACUAGCUUCGCCGCUGGCUAGUUUAAUGUCGUUUGACAACCUCUCCGCUUUAUGAGUAUGUGAAGUGCAACAAUGUUCAAGGUCAGGGAUACGUUGGUGUCAAUUUUUGUGUUGGAAAUUACGUUGGACAGGUUGUUGCAGCAUCAAUGGAUUUUUCACAUGAAAAUGGGGUUGAAUGCAUGAAAGAGGAGCAAAUGAAACAUUAGGUAUAGUGACGACAUUGAGGAACAAUGUAUUUUGGCGUGUGCGACCACACAUGGGCUCAUAAUUUGAGAGACACAAAAAUAUAUACGCAAAAUAUGAGUUGUUUAACUAUAAUAAAAAGUCUUUAGAAAAAAAAAACUAUAGUAAAAGGUUGAAAAUCUAAGUAUACGAAGUAUAUAAAGAUUUACUUUAUAUCUAUAUUCAAAUUAACUUUUCUAUCUCGUUAUCAUAUAAAUGAUCGUUGGAUCGAGAUUAGAUGAUGUAAAUUUCAAAUAAAUUUUUGAUUUUUAUUUUUAAAUUUGAAAUCUCGAUUUUAAAAUCCAGACCAUCCGAUCUCCAUUGAAGGUCAUUGAUGUGACGAGGGUCUGAAUAUGACUAUUUGACUAGUAAAGGAAUCUAGAUUCAUCCAAAACUCUCUAUAUUAGUCUAAAUCUGUUAAAAUUCAAACCAAAAAAACAAAUGGGACCAUAAUCAUUAACUGGACAUUGCUAAACUAGUGACAGACAGAGAAGCAAAACCAGUACACCCUGUUGCUGAUGCUUAAUUUGCCACAGAAUUCUAUAUCUAUCUACACACAAUCCCUUUUCAAAAUCCAUACAUGACCAUACUCACAUGUAGCCGUUGGUCUACAACAACCUUUUUAGGUCACAUUGGACCUACCACAUGCAUAUCAUAUUCCAAAAAUCAACAAGUCCCGUUGGAAUGUGGGCCUUAAAAGUGGGUCCAUGCAAGCGAAAUCAAGCUAAGUAGGACGGCAAAAAAUAUUGUGUUAAAACUUUAAUCAUGUCAUUGUCUAUAACCAAACAAAAUUACACAUUUAAUUAUUUGAUUAAUUUUCAUUUCUUUUGUUACAUAAAUACCACCUCAUUCUACUCAAACCAUACUCAAUUCAAUCCACUACUCUCCCACUUUUGAAAACAAAGUUAAGAGAACUAAGCAAAUAUGGCUAAAGAUGUUGAGGUUCAAGAACAAGGAGAAUACUCAGCAAAAGAUUACCAAGACCCACCUCCAGCACCAUUGAUAGAUGUUGAGGAGCUAACAAAGUGGUCAUUUUAUAGAGCUCUUAUAGCUGAGUUUGUUGCAACACUUCUCUUCCUUUAUGUCACUGUUUUGACCAUUAUUGGUUAUAGCCACCAGUCUGAUCCUAAAGCUGGUGGUACCGACUGUGAUGGUGUUGGAAUUUUGGGUAUUGCUUGGGCUUUUGGUGGCAUGAUUUUCAUUCUUGUUUACUGCACCGCCGGUAUCUCUGGUAUGCUAUAGUUUCCUCUCACUCUCUUACACAUGCAAAGACUUUAUAAAAUUUGCUAUUAAAUUUGGAUAUAGGUUUGCAUAAAAUAACUUAAUUUGAAGAAUAUAGGUAAAAUAUAAGUGCAAGUCAUAUAGUAAGGUUUGGACAUUUAAUAUAUGGAGCGCGAGUUUGAACCUGCAAUACCCUAUUCUCUAAACAAAUAAUGUGUGAAAGUUUUAUAGGUCUAUGCACCAGCUUCGAAACCCUAAAUGUUAGUUGGUAGUAUGUUAUGUUAAUGAGUUUAUGUGUGAAAUUGUGAUUGCAGGAGGACACAUCAACCCUGCCGUGACAUUCGGGCUAUUCGUGGGACGAAAGGUGUCCUUGAUUAGGGCUGUAUUUUACAUGGCAGCACAGAGUGCCGGUGCAAUCUGUGGUACCGGACUUGCCAAAGGUUUCCAAAAAGCAUACUUUGACAGGUAUGGAGGUGGUGCCAACUUUGUACAUGAUGGCUACAACAAAGGCACAGCUUUAGGUGCUGAAAUCAUUGGUACCUUUGUUCUUGUCUACACUGUCUUCUCUGCCACUGAUCCUAAGAGGAACGCUAGGGACUCCCAUGUUCCUGUAAGCAUUUAAUUAUAAACUCAAUUCACACACACUCAUCACCUUUUUCUUCAUAAUAAGUACUUUAAGCAUAACUAACUAUGUGUUUGGUGAAAUGAUGAAAAGGUUUUGGCACCACUUCCCAUUGGAUUUGCUGUUUUCAUGGUUCACUUGGCUACUAUCCCCGUUACCGGCACCGGUAUUAACCCGGCAAGAAGUUUCGGAUCAGCCGUGAUCUACAACGACGGCAAAAUUUGGGAUGAUCAGGUAAACAUCCAUAUCAUUAAAUUAUUAAAGUGACACUGAUAACUAUUUUACAACCGUUUAUUUGAGGAGACUUUGAUUAGGUUUAAGUCUCUCCUUAUAUUAGCCAGACAAACUUUAUAUUUUUCAGUUUUUAGUUUUUUGUCCAUUAAUUAAACUUUUGUUUAGUGCUAAAACAAUUGUUUUCUUUAAUUUUACAAUAGUCUUGAAUUUAUUUUUAAAUAUGUUGAUAAUAAUAUUCUAAUAGAUAAUUAACUUUUGUUGAAUUGUUUUUGUGAUGAACAGUGGA